rnacentral:lncRNA from 1 species
CCUAAGAGACUAUUUAAGCCAUAAAUGGCCUUCUAUAGCUUGCAGACCUCAUCAAACUGCACUUGUGAGACAUGCUGAGAAGAAGGUUGCUCCAUGUGAAUUUCUUCCUAGACAUCACCAUGAAGAACUGGAUCCAACCCAUAGGAGGAUUAUAAUUUGGAAACUAUGAGAGACAAACACAUAUGAAAAAUGUCAAACUGGUUGAGAACCCAAAAACAAAUUGAAUGGGAGAACAUCGGUGGGUCAGUGACAGAGCCAGACCCUAUGAUUUCAUACAGUUAAUACGAUUACAGAUACUACCUGUAUAAAUGCUAAAGUCAGUUACACUUAUAUAGAUCCCUUCCUUCCACUCAGCUGAUCAAAUCAAACAGGAAAACUUAAGAAAGCAAAGAUGAAGAUGAAGAUUGACAUUUGGGAAAAAGGAGAGCAACAUAAGUUGUAUCACUUUCAUGUUGUUGCAGUAUUACUGGGAAAAAGCUUCUUUAUUUCUUCUAGUCUUUUCUUUUUUGUUUUUUUUUUUUUUUUUUGGUUGGGCAGUAUCACACAAAACCAGACCCAGAAUCUCUUGUGGACUGCCUCUUGAACCAGUCCUCAAGAUGCCUAGAGAGUAAAACAAUAAAUCCUUUAACAUUCCCAAGAAAGGCAAGUAAUGACACACACUACCAAAUGAGACUGUAAAGUAAAUGGACGGUUGAAAAUUAAAUAAUACAUGCAUUUUGACCAUACAAAUUUUGUAGACACACGGUUAAUUAACCAACAAUUUGCACUGUGAAUUUAACAGACCUUACAUCCAUCUUAUAACUACAAUGUUAAUUGCAAUGACUUGAUGAUAUAUCAUACUAAAUCAAGUGUCCUAUGCAGCAUAUGAAGCAAAACGGAUGCUUGGACCCAGGUCCCAGGGUCACAUAAAACCACAAAGUGAAUGGAUAUAACUCCACAAUAAAUCAACUGUCUUAUAACACUAAUUUGGGAUGAGAAAUUGAAUCAAAUCCAAAAUUCUAGUAUCAACGAGCAGGCAUCUUAAUCAAUAAUAUAGGAAUACUAAAUAAAUCUAGGUGUCUACCCAUCCCUUUUAACCUCCCUUACCUAUUCUAGCACAACCAGUUUAUACCAAGCCCUCACCAGCACCAAUGACCUCCUUUGGACAGGACAAAACAAUCUUAAUUGAUUCCACACCAUCUUAUCAUAAAUUGUGGCCAGGAUAAUGUGAAGGAUACACAUCUUAGCAAUCUGAUCUACCAAUGCUUUUAUACAACCACCUUGGUUCCCACUUCAAUGAUACCUUAUAAGUUGUUUUCCACCCAACAUCUAUUAGCCAACCAAUUUUCUCCACAUCAACAACAAUGUUCCUUUUGCAGCAAAUCAAUAAAUUGCAAUUCUCACAAGUCAGAACAAAGGGGACACUUUUAAUGAUGAUUUUAAGCCAGGAAACCUACUGCAAAUUAUUCUAGUGAUAUUCAAAUUGAACAAACAAAUAACAAGAAGUGUACAAAGUCAGAGAAGCUCCAAUGAAGCAAGUCAAAGCAUGGUAGCUAAGUGAUUAUUGAAGAAGAUAAAUUGUCUUCAAAACAUUAAGCAGUAAGAAAUGCCAAACACAGCACAAGUUAGCAAGAGUCAAUCCACACAUAAUAUCGCACAAAUGCCUUGUCAAUCUAACCUUUAAACUUCUUAUCUCUUCUUGUAGCUUUUCAUUUGCAUCUUCAAGAUCCUUAGCUUCAUUUCUCAGCUGGUUCAGUACUCGGAUGGCAUCCCCAAGUAUGGCCAAUUUGUCAGUUUUGGCAGAUUUACCAGGUUCUAAAAUGGAACUCAAGUCUAGAAACCUAAAUCGGACAAACAAGAUUUUUCCUUUGAGACACCAUCCAUCACCUUAUAGAUUGAUCAAUGGAUAGAUACACAAAAAGACAUAGAGAGCACAUAAGAAAUCUGUACAAGUAUCAAACUACAAGAAAUCAAUAAAAGAUUUGGACUACUCAAAUGGUCACAUUUCCCGAUGACAGAUAACAUACGCAAUGAUGAUGAAUCCCAUACCAUUAAAGAUUGUGUUUUUUGAAAUAAUUUUUUGAUAGGUAAGCAACUUAUCAAAAACACCAAACAGGCUAUAAACCAGUACAUGUGAUAUGUGUUAGGCACACAAAGGAAAGGAAAAGGAAGAAGAGAGGAAGACACCCUCCCUUAGUUAUACAGCAGAAGCAAUAAAUAGAAUCCAAAAUUGAUGUAUCAUCAGCAUAUUUCACAGACAAAAAAAAAUAACAAGCUUAAGAAGCAUUUCCUUCAGCUCAAAAUUGGAGGUUCCUCAUCCCAAACAUGUUCCCUAUUUCUCUCUCCAUAUGAACCACAUAACACAUGAGGGUACAAAUCUCCAAAACUUCCACCCUCCCUCCCCAGCUUCCUCCCACACCUACAAUUACCAUUCUGGCCUUUGUGAAAUGCAUCAUCUGCUCCAAAGAGCGUAAAUGAAGGUUCACAAUUCUUGCUAUACUACAAUAAACAAAGAGAUGAUUGCAAGCAUCAUAUUCUUUUUACCUUACAUAACUCCUGCAACAGAUUAAAGGCACGUAGCUGGGAAGUGAAAGACCGUUAUUUUUUUAACCUUAGACAAAAUUAAUCUGAUCUAAUAUGCCUCACCUAUUCUUGAACAAAUGCAGUUGCACAUCAGUCAAAUAAAACCAUGACAUCAAAAAAAAAAAAAAAAGGAAUCUGAUCCAACAAAACACAUGCCUGUCAUUCAAUCUUUCCCUUCGCAAUUUCUCACGGCAAGCUUUGGUUCCAGGCCUGGUGGAUGAAUCAUUGCGUCCCCUACAAAUAGUCAACAUGAAAUUAUCAUGAAAAUCUAAUUACAAAAUGAAAAAUAUGGAUCAAGUUAUUCUACCAGAAAGACUUAUAAAAUGAUAAACAAGGAACCAGCUCAUUUGAUAGUUUUCUAUCUUUUUUCAACUCAUAGUGUAAAACGGUCAUGCAAAUGAAAGCAUUCAUAAAGAAUAUCACACUUCUAUUCUAGCAAGAUUAAAAUAAAAAAAUAAAAAAUAAAAAAUAAAAUAAAAAGAUUGCUAUGAUGGAGACAACUGACAGCCACCUUUACAAGUUUACAAGGAGUAAAGGAAUGGGCUUUAAGGCCAAUCUUUAAUUUGGCAUUCUCUAGAUGACAUUGAGCUUACUUGCGAUCUUAUAUAGUUCAACAUGGACUCAGCCUAGAAGUACUUUCCAGAAAUCAGAUAAUGGGCUUCAUCAAUGGUCUUAAGUUCUUACUUUCAGUCGUUUAUGUUGUCAUUUUCCAAGAGUCUUUUAAUAUGGUCAAGUAGUCAUUCAAAGUCUCUGAUAUUUUCAAUCUUCAUUGCUACUGUGUGAGUAUUUCUAAGAAGUUAUAACUCUUUAGAGAAGUUCUAUAUAGUAUUUGAUAAAAUCAAUGAAUGAAUGAUAAAAAUUUCCAACACCAUUAGUAAUAAAUGAUACCACCAUUAGCAAGCACCUAUUAUACAUUUAUUUUUUAGAAAUUUAGAAAAAACAUUAAAAUAAAAAACCAUGAGAAGAACAACUUGAAUCAACUCAAUGACUGGACAAGUGCAACAAUGUUUAGAACAUGAGAGCUCCACAUGUUCAAAAUAUAUAUCCCAUAUAGGUAAUGCUAAAUAGCACAAUUUUCCCUUUUCUACUUUCACCAGUUACAUGGAGAAUAAGAGCUUUAAAGAACAUAUUAAGAGGACACUUAUUCCCUAAAACUUGCUCUUUUGAUUGUCUCAUUUAAAGUAAGGUAAGAACAUUGAAAAACAAAUUUGUGACACUAUCCAACAAUUCAUGGAGCAAUGUUAUAUAGAUACCAGUAUGAGCAUCAAAUUUUCCAUGAGCCCUUAGAUUCAACACCAGAAGAACCUUAGGAUUUGACUAUGAGGCAGAAUAUUUAAAAAAUGUUUUACAACGCAAGUACAUUUAGAGAAUGUUUGGCCUUCAAUGUGUUACAUCUUCUUACCCAUCUACAUCUGAGAUCACAGAAUUCAAAAACUUAACAGUGUAAAGGUUAUGGGGUUGUUAAGCAUAUAAUUACAAACUACAGUCUAGAAGUGUAAACUUCACCAACUCAUGGAUGCAACAAUCAUCAUCCUUAAACCCUCAUGCGAACCAAAUACACUUAUCCAACCAUGUUCAAUAUCAAUCCCUCAAUAUUCUAUAAAAUCCCGAAAUAUAAAUAGCAAUUCAUAUUAAUUGCAUAAUUCUCUGACCACAUACACCAUUGAAUUCAAUCCCAAAGGCAAGAAAAUAAAAAGACAACAAGGGGAAGAAACACAUUGCUACAUGAUGUUACUCAAUCCCGAUAGCAUAGUUUUCCCACAUUUAAAAAAAAAAAAAAAAAAAAAAAAAAAAAAAAAAAAAGCUCGCAUAUUAUUCAAAUCAUACAGUUCAGCAUUGAUAAGAGAUUUCAUUCCAGCAUAUUGCACAUUAGAGUUACAAAUUACCUCUUCUGUCUGCCUUCAUUUUCUUGCGACGCAGCACAAAUACGCGAAAGAUCAAUAUCGACACCAGCACUGAAAUAGAACAAGCAUACCAAUCACAUUAACACGCCGAUCUAAAGUAUCCUCAUUUCAAUUUCACGAUUAAAACAAUUUCAAACAACUUUAGGUCAAAAUGACUCGGACCGAUAUUCUAAUUAUCCGAGGUGAAGCUGAGUCGCCAAGACAACAAUUAACUAUCAAACUUAUAAAAUCAAUCACACAAUUAUGUUUCGCCAAGCCGCUGAUUGGCUGCCGAGAAAGCAAAAGAAAGGAAGAGAAAAUUUAAACAUACAGGUACCCGUCGUUUAUCCAAGAGAGAUCGUUGGAUGUGACGUCGUCUAUCAAUUUAUGAUUAAGAAAAUCCCAAGUAUCAUCGUCGAAGGAAUCCAUGGAUUUGGGAUAGGCAACAGGAAUCCAGCACCUAGUUUGGAGGGGGAGAUGGAUAUUUUGAAAGAAAAUUGCCCAGCAAAGGCCCUAAAGUGGCACCACGUGGAACACGUUUGAAUAAGUAUGACGGCGAGUUGCCGCUUCCUGUUUUGACCAACACGUGUGUCUGCACCUACUCCUUUCCCACGCGCCUCUGUCGUCGUCGAUUCGGGUCCGGUGACCCUCUCAAUUUUAAUUAACUGGAAAAUACGCGAUUUACUGAUUUGAGUGAUUUCCAUUUUUAUUUUUGAAAAAUAAAAAUUAGGAUAAAAAAUAAGUUUCGACUUUAUCUUUUUUAUUUAUUUAAAAAUAAAUAAAAUAAAAAUUUUGGAAAAGGCUUGAUGUUUUAUUUUUCAAAAUUUCUUGAGACAAUUAAAAAUUAUCUUUUGUAAAUAAAAAAGAAUAAAAUUAUAUCUUAUAUUGGGUAUAAAAGGGAUACAUAUAUUAUAAAUAUGAAAUACAUGGAAAAGUAGGUUUUUAUUCACUAAUUUAAAAAAAUAUAGAAAAAUAACCUAAAUUUUUAUUAAUCAUAUUUAUCUUUACCUAUUUAAAAAAAUUUUAAAAUACAUGUAUUUUUAUAAUUUAAAUAAUUUUUUCUUAAAAUGAUCAUUUGACAUAUUUAUAACACUAAUUAACAACUUUUUAUUGUGAGAAAUGAUUUAAGAUUAAUAAAAUAAGAAAUUCAAAAAAUUAAAACUAUAAUACUUUAAUACGAAAAAUACAGCAUAAAAUAUUAAUUUUUACUUCAUUAAAACACUUUGAUAAAAAAUAUGAAUAUCAAAAAAGAGUUGGAAAUAGAAUGAGUAAAUAUUUUUAUUUUAAAAUUUUUAAGUUUUUUUGUUUUUAAUUAUAUUUAAUUUUAAUUGUAUUUUUAAUUUUAAAAUUUUGUAAAAAAAAAUUAUUUAAUUUUAUUAAAUAAAAUGAGAAAUUGAAAAGAUUUAUAUAAUAUAUGAUAUAAAAUCAUUAUUAAUUAGAAGAUUAAAAAGAUUAUAUUUAUCACUUAUGAAUUUUGAAAAAAAAAAUCCACAAAUCUCAUAUUAUAUAAUAAAAAAUUUAUAAUAUAUUUAUCAGUCAAACACCUUUAUUAAAUUAAAAUAAUAAAUUAAUUUUAAAUAAUUUUAUUUAAAGUAAAAUGAUAUUUCAAGAAAUAACUAUUUAAAUUAUGAAAAACUACGUUUAUUUUUAAAUGGGUGGAGAUAAAACUAAUUUUUUUUAAAAAAAAUUAAAGUUAUUUUUCCUAUAUUUUAUCAAAUUAAGGAAUUAAAACCCACUUUUCCUAGUAAAUAUUAGGAUAAAGAAAUAUUUAUAGACAUCAAUUUCAUUCAUUGUUUUGAAUGAAAUUGGAUAUGGGAAAUUCGAUAACAGGCUAAAAUGAAAAUUUUAUUAAACCAGGAUUUCCAUCAGUUGUAUACAUGGAUUUCUGUGUCAAUUUAUAGUUUCGAAACAGAAUCAUUUGAUGAGAAGCGGUCAGCAGAGAGGACUUCCAGCCAAAAAAAGUUGAAACAUAAUCAAAUGACAUGAGCUUCAUUCUUAAGCUGGUCGAUCAGCUCAUCCACGGAAGAAACAAUAACUCCUGCUUUUCUCUUGGGAGGCUCAGUGACCUGAACAACCUCCAAAUCGGAUUUGAUAUCUACAUUCAAUUCCUGUGGAGUGAACUUCUUUAUUACCUUCGAUUUUGCUUUCAUAAUGUUGGGGAGUGUUGCAUACCGAGGCUGGUUCAGUCUCAAAUCAGUGCUGCAUGAGGUACAAAAUAUCAGGUCAAGUAAUGAGAUGAAACACAGAGCCAAGUUGCAUUUAUGCUAGCCUAUGGCAAAUAAUUGCAGUCAGCUUUCUGAUAAUAGCUUUGUUCAUCUGAGAAACACUUCCUAUUCAUGUGUUAUCAGCAUUUCCACAUGUUGCCUACUGCCAUUGGGCAAAAGCUUGGAUGAAAAAGAAGCAUGUUUUUGUCUUAAUUCUCUUAAGCAGAAUCAAGGAAUAGGGUUUUUGAGCAGAACUUCAUGUUACGAGUAGAUCCUUCCAUCAUUUGAGCACUAGCUAGCUAGGAAUUCUUACAAGUACAGAAUAUAAAGCUUGUAAUGACCAUGAAUGGGCUGCAAAGAACACAUGAAUAACUUCAAGAGUUCAAAACAGACAACAAAUUUUGCCCAUAGCAUAUAUUUUUAUACAGAAAAAUCAGUUGCAUACUCUUAAAUGGUCAAUUAAAGCUCAUCAACCAAAUCUGAAGCGUCACAAUUUAACAUUUGCUUAAGCCCACAUGACUUGCAUCAGGUACUCAGUCAAUAACCACAAUAAUCCCACUAGGACCUCCUCCUCUGUUCAUCAUUGAAGACCUUGGAAUUAGGGGACAUCAUUUACAUGGAAUUAGGGGAAUUAGAAGACCUUGGAAUUAGGCAAUAAGCUCAUAUGCUCUCACACUUCCCAAAGACAGUCCUCAUAGAUGGGCAAUCCUCAUCUUAAAAGCACAUCAAUCCCUAUUACAUUUGGUUUCUAACUUUAUCAUAUGCAAACAAUAUGAGACCUUUGACGCUACUGAAAUAUUAAUCUAGACAGACAUUCAUUAACUACAUUUUUCCCUGUUAUACAGAGUAGUGAAAGGUUCUAGAAAGUUUUUAAGCCAAUACACCACUGCAUACACAUCGGAAUAAAAGUUCUGCUUACAGAAACAACGCUACAAUACAUCCUAUUAAGUCCCAUACGAUAUGAAUAUUAUUAACUAUUUUCUGAUAACCCAAGAAAGAAAAGACUAGAAUAGAAUAAAUAUAUUUUAAAGCAUAUUUUCAAACUGGAAGUUAAUUAUAAUCAGUAACACAAUUAAAUAAUGAAUUUAGAGUCACAUGUUUCUAAACCAAAAAAGACAAGUUGUUUAAUUAAUAUGAAUAUAAAUUUAAAAAUAAAACUUUAAAAAUAUGAUCUAUCUAUGUUUCAAAGGUUUGUUAUAGAGAUUUCAGAGAUUUCACGCUUUCUUUUAUAAGCACAGCCAACCAAAAUACAUUAACAAACAGUUUUUCCAAGAGAGAAGACGAAUAAAAACUUCAAGAAGAAAAUUUGUUUAAGUUCAGCAUAAGAAAAUAAUUUGAGUUUAAAUCCCCAAAUCUACAUCAUUCUGUACAUCACCUAGAAUUUUUUUGAUAGGUAACCCAUUUUCCUUUUAUUUAUUUUAUUUUAUUUUAUUUCAUUGUUAAAACUUGAACUUGGAACCUCCCACAUCCAAGCUACAACCCUUUCUCACUUGAGACAAGCAUGAAGGAGUAUAUUUCACCUAUAAUCCUUAGUUAUGUUUGGUUCCUAGAAAGUACCAAGGAAAGAAAAAAAAGGGAAAAUGGUUUCUUAUGUUUGGAUGCUACAGAAAAAGAUAAGGGAAAAAAUAUUGAGGGAAAAUGCUAUAGAAAAAAGAUUUUCCUCCUGAUUUUCCUUAAAAAAUGAUGAGGAAAGUUGGCACAAUGUGCAUUCCUCACAAUUUUACUUCCCUCAAUUUUUCAAUGCACAACCAAAUAAGAGAAUUUUUUUAAAAUUUCCUCAUAUUUUUCUUUCCUUCUAAUUUCUUUCCCACAAACUUUCCAAAACCAAGCAUAGCCUUGAUUUUUUGGUCGAUGGAUCCUAAUAUUUUUUUCCAUGCAAGAAGAACCGAUGGAUUAGUCUUCUCCAUUUAUGGUUCCAAAGGUUUAGAAUUUCUUUAGCAUUUUAUUUUGCUUAAUUGAAAAGACAGAGAACAAUAAAAGUAUUUCAAGAGCUUCAUCAAAAUUUUAAACCACAAAGCUCAAUGUAAGACAUGAUGGCAUGUAAGACAGAAAACAAAAACAAAGACAGAAAAACAGUAAAUAGCAUAAGAAGAACAAAUAGAAAACAGAGUGAGACAAUUACGUGAUUACUGCUGGUAAGUCCAAACAUAAAGUUUCAAGACCACCAUCCACCUCUCUCUCCACUGUUGCCACCUCUUUCUCCUUGUCCAGCACAACCUACUAGAAAGCAGCAGCCAGGUUGAACAAUUAUUAAAGGCAAAGAAGAAUAACUUUUAAAGAGAUCAUCUAAAUGUUCUAUCAACACCAAUUGCCAAUACAUCUCAAAUUCUCUAGGGAAAGUGGGGAGAGAUACAAAAACAUAAGCUAUGUUUGGUUCCUAGAAAAUUUGAAGGAAAAUGUAAGGGAAAUAAGAUAGAAAGGAAAAGUAGAAGGAAAGACAAAGCAAAGAAAAUGCAUAGGUUUCUAACUAAUUUUAAUUAUAUUUGAUUUUAUUUCUUAUUUUUUUAUAGUAAAACAAAACAUAAGAAAAUAAUUUUCCUUAACAUUUUUUUUCCUUAAUACUUUCCAAGAGCCAAAGGUAUCAAUGGUUUUAUUGAUGCACACAACAUAAUUCUUUCAGGUAUGCCCCUUGCAGCUGGAGAACAAAAAGAAUAUAGGUACAAAAUGAUUUAAGAAAACAAAGAUUACCACCAUAGAAAAGCUAAAGUUAAGUUGAAUUCUAUUGCAUACAGAAAUCCAUGAAUCAUGACAGAAAUCCUAAUAAUAUUUUCCAUGAGGAAAAACAUCCACAUUUAUAAUACUACUGAAGAACCACAGUAACAGCAAUUUUAGGGAAAAAAGGACCACUGGCAUAUGAUGGUACCAUAAGAACAAUCUCAGCCCAAAAAACCCUUCAUAGGGGGGGCAAAUUGCUCUAACUCUUGAAAUCUACCCAAAGAAGGGAAACUACCUCUUUAAUCCAUCUUGGUUAGGUACCAGUUCCACAAGGGGCCAUGGUCCCCAGAUCCUUAUUUUUCCUUGUCCACAGUGCUUUUUACAUUCGGAGUAAUUACAAUAUCAGAAACAAGAAGAACAUAACAUCGAUUGAUGUAUUUGGAAGCAAAAAAAAAAGGUUAAAAAAGCUGUCUUAAACCUUUUGGGGUAUCUGUUAUUUUGCUUUCAUCAACUCAAUUGAUGCUUUUUUCAGCCUUUCCCUCCUUUCAUGGCCUUUGAUAUACUCUAUGCAUGCCUUGCUGAUGCUCUUACCAUUCAGCCUAAGGCCACACAACUAGCCUUUCGCAAAGACAUGACUCCAGUUUUCAGCUUUCUCAUCUUUUCAUGGCACACUCGCUAACACUGUCUUCACCCUAAGUGAUAUGAUGUGUCUCACUCAUGCAACCAGUAUUCACCCAAAGAGAUAGAUCAGAGAAAAUUUCUCUGUGUUAAGUUUCUUUAAAAGCAAACAGAGUCUUUGAGAGUUUCUUGUUAUUCCAUCUAUGACCAAAAGGGUUGAGAUUCAUGGCCCCUUGCAAUGAAUUUUCCAUUAUCAUCUUCAAAUCUGACAUUUAAAUCUUGUUUUCUUGUUUUCCUGUUUUUACUCUCAAAAUAAUCCAAAAACAGUAUUUUGGAAACCCUCAAUUACUUCAAACGAUCAAUGAGAGGCAAAUUGGAAACCAUAAUUCACAAGCGCUGGCAAAUGGAAAUGGACUCUAAAAAGAUGUUAGCUGUAAACUAAUUGCUUGUUGGCUCUGGUGGCAUCCAUCAUCAAAGAAAAAAGAUAAAUAAACUGAGACAUGGAAUUUCACUAUCCUUUUUUUCUUAUAGGUAAGCGAAGCUUGUAUGAAAGGAAUAAAGAAAAUAUAUACAACAUAUACAAAGCAACCAAAAUGGAAUUUCACCAUCCUAGCUGAAAAGUGGCGCACUGUUACCCUACUUGAUGUUGUAAUAAGCUUUUUCAUCCUAAACUAGGGGAAAAUGCCACUAGCAUGCACCUUACAAGUCUUUCUAAACAUUUCUGCAUCUCAUCAUGAGAGUUUUAUGGCAGUGAAACCCCAUCCCAUGCCUCCGUCAGUGAGGAUUCUAUAACAACAGAUUCAUAUAUAUCAUUCUCUAAUCCUUUUCUCUUGUAUGUGAAUAGAACAUAGCUCUGUUUGGAUCCAAGAAAGAAUGACAGAGGAGACCAAAACACUCAAAACACUGAACAUAACUUUAGAAAGUUCAAAGUUAUUUUCAGGAUUUGCCUUUUAUUUCUCCCAUUCUCUCUGAUAUAAAGACAAAACCUAAUACUUGUAGAAAGACACAUGGUUAAAUUUUUGUUGUCAACGCCAACAAAUCCAUGUAAGGUGAUGCUUUUCACUAAGAAGAGACUCUAAGAUUAGAUUCCCAAUGUAUAGAGUGUUUGCGCAGUAAACAAAUCAAUCACUUAUCAUUUAUAUAACAGUAGAAGUGUAUGGAGAGUGGGACUAACCUUGGAAGCAAAGGUCCCCUGAGGCCAGUUGAGCAACCCGGCAACCAUUUGCCCUGUUUGAUUGCAAUCGUCAUCAAUGGCCUAGAAAACCCAUGCCCACAUCAGAAAACAACAAUCCACCAUAAAAAGAGUCUAGGAUUUUCACGGAAUCCGCAAAUUUAUUUUUAAAUCGUUACCAAAAACCCUAAUCUCUGGGCACGAAUUCACAGACCUGUUUGCCCAGAAUAAGGAGGCCAGGCUUCUCCACAUCGACGAGAGCUUUGAGAAGCUUAGCAACUGAAAGUGGGUACAGAGUGGCGGAAGCUUCGACGUGGAUGGCCCUAUCGGCGCCCAUGGCGAGACCCGUUCUGAGCGUGUCGACGCACUGGCUGGGACCCACACUGACAGCGAUAACCUCCGACGCCAGACCCGAUUCCUUGAUCCUCAGAGCCUCUUCCAAACCUAUCUCACAAAAGGGGUUCAUCGACAUCUUGACGUUGCUGGUCUCCACGCCGCUCUGAUCGUGGGUUGGCGAUUGUUAUUGGAUGAUGAUGAAAUUACAGAUACUGAAUAACUUGAGAGUUUGGAUUUGGGUUACCUUGUCGGAUUUGACUCUGAUCUUGACAGCGUAGUCCACAACACGCUUUAUCGCCACCAUUAUCUUCAUCUCGUAUAUGGGUGGUUAUCUUCUCCGGCACAAGGGUAUUGGCAAAUGACUGAUGAUGAAGGACGAGGAUAUUCGCCCGAGCCCUACUGCACGACACCACAUCCGCUUAUAAAAUCUUUUGAUACGGAUAAGUACAAGGGAAGUGGAAAAAAAGGAUUAUUAAGAAAAAUAAAUAUAUUACCAAAAAAAUUAUUUAAAAUUUUGUUCAUGUAGAAAGAACCCGUGAAUCAGAUCGAAAAAAUUAUAUUAAAACUGCUGUAUAGCCGAAAAUUGUGUACAGAAUUUAUUUUAACAUUGUAUUAUUGAAUUUUUUAUUCAAAAAUUGCUUAACGUGAGAUAGAAAUUAAAAAAUCAUUAGUAAUUUUGUCCGAAAGUUGUUAUAUUUCAUGUGUUUUAAAAAUAGAUGUAAUUUAUUCCUAUUUGCAUUUUUAACGUACAUUUAAUUAAAUAACCCAAAAAGUUAUUGAGUUCACAUCAUCUAUGGAGUCUACCUCUCUUUGCUUUUGUUGCUUCCAAAAAUACCAUACUCCCAUAUUUUUUUGGUUCUACUCAUUUUACUUUAUUUUUUUCAUUCCAUUCAUUCCACGUGAAGUCUUCAAUCCUAAUAACAUUUACUAUAUUACAAUUAAGUUUAAUUUUUAAAAAACUUAAUUAGGGUUAAAUUUCCUUUGAGAGAACUUCAUUACAAUUAUUUGAGUUGUACGUUAAGUUUCAUUUAAAAAUAACUUAUUUAAAAAGAUGUUAAGCUUCCCCUAUUUUAUUUAUAAAGUUUAAUAUCUAUUUGAUUUUAUAUUUGAAAUCCAACUAAAACCUAAUAACGAAUUGUUGUAAAAAAACUCCAAUCAAAAUACUAACAAAAAUUAAAACAUAAAACUCUGAUAAAAAAUUGUUAAAAAAUCCAACAAAAAAACAAUCAUAAAAAACCCUAAUCAAAAACAUCAUGGAAGUUUAAAUGAAAUUGCCAAAAAAUAAAAAGUAUAGAAAACCCUAACAAAAAAACAACACCAAAACACCUGACAAAAAACAAUUACAAAUUCUAGCACAAAAACCCCCAAUUAAAAAUAUCUAUAAAGAAAAACCUAAAAAAAACCAAUUAUAAAACCUCCAACAAAAAAUAAAGAGAAAGAUGAAGAAUAUGAAAAAUUUUGAAGAAGAAAGAAACAUGAGAGAACUAUCAUUGAUCUUUAUUUGUUAAUCUUUGUUAUAUGUUUGAACUUCACUAGAAAAUGAGAGAGAGAGCAUAAACCUAAAGAGAGAAAGAGCUGAAAAUGAGAGGAGAAAUGAAUCACAAUGAGGGGAAUGACAAUUUGAGGAAAUAUAGAAGGGUUAAAUCAUUUGAACUAGGUUAACGUUUUUAUUAAAAAAAAAGAGUAAUGAAGGUCCUUGUUCUAAUUUCAAGAGUAUGUCUGUUAAUUACCAAAUGUGGCAACUCUAAAUAAAAUCCUUUGUUAUCAACUAAAACUAAAAGUCCCAUUACAUCAUAUCCAACUUUCAUUUGUUAUCAACAAAGUAAAACUAUAUACAACUAUUAUCACCAUCUCUCCUAUUUUGAUGUUAUUUUCUUAGAUGAAUUUGUAAAUCAAAAUUUACACCACCCAUAAAUUUUUUGAGCUUCCUAUUUAACACAACUUCAAUUUGUUAUACUUUGAACAUCACAAAGAUAAAGUAAUCAACAUUUUGCUUGGACAAGUUUUUCUUCUCUAAAGUUUAGAGUCCUAUUUCACUUCCCGUUUAUGGGUUGUUAGUUCAUCUAAUAUCUCACCAUCAUCCAUUCCAUGUACUGUGUUUCCGAAAUGAGUUGAUUCCACAUCCUAAAUGUCUGUGCAAAUUAAUAAGGAAUGUCGAGUUACCAAUUUUCUUAAAAGCUUAAUCUUGCAAGAUUUGGAUUCAAAAUGCAUAUCAUGCUCUCUUUAACACCCCUCCCCCCUCUCACAUGUAGCCCUAUACCCACACGUAGAGAAAUAGACUUAUAGGAAAAUUGGUAGUUUAAUAUAGUAUCAGCACUUGGUUUGGUGGGAGGUCUCCUGUUUGAGUCACCUCUCCACAAUUUACAUUUCUCCUAUUUGUUUAAUUUACAGUUCUUCCCUUAAUCUGUAAUUCUUUGGAUAUAAAUUUUCCCCCUAAUUUGUAGUUUUGUGGAUAUGAAUCUCUCUUCCAUGUUCAGGUAUGGGGCCACACAUAAGAGAGGGUGUUAAAGAGCAUGAUAUGCAUAUUAAACCCAAAUCCUAUAAGUUAAAACUUUUAGGAAAAUUGGUAGUUUAACGCUUUUAGGAAAAUUGGUAGUUCAACAUGUGUACACCCCAUUUUGGGGACUGCUAUUGCUCCCACUUCUUUUUGUCAAAUGGUGGAGCUUUUUAGGAGCACAUGUUGUAUUUGGAAAGGCUAUUAGAAAAUGGCAACAUGACUGUUAAUGGAAGUAAUGAUUUUCUAAAAAGGCAACCAUGGGAAGACACAUAACAAAGAUGUUUGGGGAGGAGGGAGAGUGUGCAUCAAGACUACUCAUGAGGGGUAAGAAACAAAAAAAAAAAAGUGUCGAAGAUAACUAAAAAAUUGGAGAAACAUAAAGGAAUAAGGAUUUUAGGGCUAUGGAUGGUGAACAAGAGUGAAUUAUGGGUGUCUAGGACAGCUAGGAAUGGUGAGAGGAGUAGGGAGCUGUAGAAGGUGAUGAGCUAGGUAAGAUGUAUUUUCGAGAAAGAAAAGAACCAAAGAAAGAAGGUGGUGAAUUAAGUGAGACACGUCUCAGAGAAGCAGAGAAAGUUGGCUUGAAGCCAAGCAAACUUUUGCUUGAGAUGAGCAUUGCCUAGUAAGAUUGUUUCGAUUCAUCGAUUAUUACUGAUCAUCAUACUUCUCUUGUCUUAUAUUCAUGUGAUUAUUUUACAUUGAUUGUGGGGUUGCUUUGGUUUGGUUAUUAUGGCUUCAUCCUCUAUUUCUUUAGUUUUAUUCAAGGAUAAAUCUAAUUGUGCUUUGAUUAGUUAUUCCAUAUUUGAAAAUCUUUGUGUAUUUUGGGUUUUUUCUCUUUAGAUAUUUUCUAGAUUAAUCCACUGACCUUUAAACCCACAAAUAAAGAAAAAUGAAAUGAGUUUUUUCAUAUUUGUUGGGUGUUUGGCCCUUGUUUAUCUUUUUUUAAAGCUUUAUUCCUUUAUAUUCUCUAUUUCUCCCCAUUUUGUACAUGGGUGUUUCAAUCAGAGUCUCUAUUUUGGCUUCCACAUUUGAGAUUUCUUUUAUGAGCGAAGACCCAAAAAUGGAGACUGGCUUCUUGUAAUUGAUAAAAUAGUUAGUCACCCAUUAGCUUAGAUGAAGCAUAGAUGUUAACCGGAUUGUGAACAUGGAUACUCUAUUUUGGGCCUAUUAGGCCUUCCAAUCCUCUCUUAGUUUCAUUAUUCUUGAGGAUAGUGUUUGGUUGUGUCUGCUACUUAUUCUGUGGCUUCGGUGGUCUGUUUGUUUAUUCUUGGCUAUUAUCAAUGCUAACAAUGGGAAAGAGACUGGUUUUGGUUAUGCUCUUACGGAUUUGAAGGUGAUCAAAGGGUCCAGUGAAGAGAAGAUUAGUAGGUCAUAUUAGGUUAAUUAAUUAAUUAGGACAUGUUUUGAGUUAUAUUAAGUAAUACAAGCUCUUAGUGGGCUUAAGUAACUUAAGCCUAGUGGGGAAUGCCAUAAAUACCCCUUAGGGGUUAGCAUUUCCAUAGGUUUUUCUAGAGAGUCAUCUUUCACCUCCAAAGAAGGAGAGUCAUAGCCUUUACCAUUUUUUCCAUCAUUAUCGAAGUGUGUCAAGAUUAAGGUUUAAGUCAUUGAGCGGAAGACUCCAGGUUUAUGAGACUUCAUACAACUUCGUUUUUCAUUUUCAUCAAAUGGAAUUAAUUUGAAAACAUUUGAAUCUGAAGUAUGGUUUUUGUUAGCAUAUUUCGAAUCCCUUUAAAGUUUAAAAAUGCAAAUUUUCCACUAUGUAUAGGAUUUAAAAUCGCUUAAGAUAGUUAAACAUGUUCCCCACUUGAUCUGAAUUGGGAAACGGAGAAAUCUGAUAUUUUCCCAUCACAAGGUAGGAUAAGAACUUGUGAUUGAUCUUUAUGGAUUGGACUAAUUAAUUAAUUGGAACCUAAUUAGGCUAAUUAAUUAAUUAAGACCUAAGCAAACUAGUUUAAGUUACACAAGCCUAGGAUGGACUUAAGUGACUUAAGCCCAUGGGAAGCUUAUAUAAACUCCUUUAGGGGUUAGGGUUUCAAACUUUUAUCAUCUAGUCUUCAAUUCCUUAAAGAGAAUAGAACUCGAGCCAACAACUCUCCUAAAGGAUUCUAUUGCUCCGUGUCAAGAUUCGAAAAAAAACUAUUUGAUGGAAGGUUGUUAUGUUUAUGAGAUUCGUUAUGUUUUUUUACACCUUUUCACUAAAUGGAAUUGAUAUAGGAAUGUUCAUAUCUCAAGUGCAACACACUUAUUCUCUUUAGAUUUAUAUUGCUUAUGGUUUUUUUUUUUUUUGUCAUGGUUUUCCGUUAAGAUUAGAUUAAGAGAGCCCUAUGUCAUAGAAUGCUUCAAAUGAGCCUCCCCGGGGGUUUGUAUAGAGCCCAUGAAGCUUCUAGAGACUCCUAUACUUAGCCAUUGGUGGGAAGAGUGUGAAAGGUUCUACAGAUGUCUAGAGAUAUUUACACAUCUCUACACUAUGGUGGAAGGCAUGAGAGGAGUCUAAGGCAUUCUAAAGAAUUAUAAAGAUCUCUUAUAUAUUCUUGUACAUAGGCUUGUACAUAGAAUUGUGUAGGAAGUUAUAGAUUAUUCUUGAGCUGUAAGGAACCCUCCAAGGUUCCAGAGAGUUCCAUUGGUGCCUAUAAAUAGGUGAAUGCCUCAUUUGGCCAAGACACUAAGCAAGUGAAUUCCAAAACACUUGUAAAGCUUCCUUUGAAUAAUAAAAGUUUCAAUUCUUCAAGAGUUGCCUAUUAUGCCUUCUAAAACUUCUAAGUCAUGAGCAUCUUAACCUAACAAGUUAAGCAUUGGGAGUAAUGCUAACUUAGCAAGAUCAAGGAUCUUGACUUGUCUAAGUGUUGCACGAUCUUAGGAAAAGAUUAAGUUUGUGACAGUUGGUUUCAAAGUGUGACUACGAAGUGAGCAUAGUAAAGGAAACAUGUCGAGCUUCAACAUGGAGGAAACUAGUGAGCAAACCCGUGGGAAAGAAACCGAGCCUACUGCAUAGGACAGGGACAUGAAGGAUAAAUCUCGUAAUGCCAUAGCCAACGUGGAGGCAAGGCUAGCCAAGGUGGAGCUAGCCAUGGCAGACACCCGGGAAGGGGUGGACUUAAUCGAGCAAGGCAUGGAAAAUGGCUUAGAGGAUCUAAAUGAGCAUAUCCAAGACCUUCAUGAGAGAGUGCUAGGCUUACAAGUUCGGCCGAUGUCAUAUGAGGAGUUCAUGUCCUUCCAAAACGAGGUCAUGAGCAUGUUUGCUAGCAUGGAGUCGAAGGUGGAGGCCUUGGCUGCACGCAUAGAGGCCCAAGACCAAGAGGUUCAACAAGAGCUAGCUAUCUACAAGACUGUCUUAUCAGCACGAGUCAUGGCCACUCAUGAGGCACUAAGGGUGGAAGUGCCCAAACCACACACGUUCAAUGGCAAGAGGGAUGCCAAGGAGUUGGACAAUUUCUUGUGGCACAUGGAGCUCUACUUUGAGGUUAUAACACUAAUAGAUGAAGCCACUAAGGUAUGUACCACAACCCUCUACCUCACCAAUAAAGCUACUCUAUGGUGGCGUCAGAGGUUUGCCAAUAUAGAAAAAGAAAUGUGCACCAUAGACACAUGGGAUGCCUUUAAGCAAAAGAUCAAAAAACAAUUAUACCUUAAUGAUGUGGCUUACCUAGCAAGGAAAAACACAAAAUGUCUUAAGCACACAGACUCGAUCCGUGAGUAUGUCAAAGAAUUCUCUACACUUAUGCUUGAGAUACCCAACAUGUCUGAGGAAAAGCUACUAUUCAACUUCAUGGACAACUUGCAAAGCUGGGCCGAGCAAGAGUUAAGGAGAAGUGGUGUCCAAGACCUAGCCACGGCCAUGGCGGUAGCGAAGUCCUUGGUGGAAUACAAAAAGGGAGACUCUUUUAAGCCCAAGCCACAGUCUAAGGGUAAUCAUGCUAAAGGUGGGGAAACAAGGGAUCAAGGAGGUACACUCCUAAGGAAUGAUCAAGCAAGACCUCUGGUGGCAAGGAUGGUAAGGGUAAGGAUAAACGGAAAUAGUUCACGCCUAAGAUCAAUUGCUUCCUAUGUGAUGGUCCACAUUGGGCGCGAGACUACCUCAAAAGAAAAGCCCUAAAUGCCAUGAUCGAGGAAAAGUAGAAGGAAGACAAUGCUCAUGUGGGAUCAUUACAACUCUUAAAUGAUAUCAAGGCUAAGUCAGUGCUUAAGACACCUCAAAGUAAAAGUCUAAUGUACAUAGAAGCCCUUGUAAAUAGGAAGGCUACCAAGGCUUUGGUGGACACUAGUGUCACUCAUAACUUUGUCUCGAAGGAUAAGACAAAGAACUUAGAGCUCCAAGCAUCUAAGGAAGGAGGUUGGCUCAAGGCAAUUAAUUAAGUUUCCAAGCCAUCACACGAAGUAGCACGCAGGGUGGCAAUGCACAUUGGCUCAUGGGAAGGAAUGGUCGACUUCACAGUGGCACCCAUGGACUACUUCAAGAUGGUACUGGGAAUGAACUUCCUAUAGAAAGACAAGGUCAUGCCACUACACUUCCUACAUUUAAUGGUUAUCCUAGAGGAUGAAAAGUCAUGCAUAGUCCUUACGGUCACCGAAGGUUCACCCAAGACCCCUAUGAUAUCGGUUAUGCAAGUAAAGAAGGGAUCAAAGAGGAAAGAGGUGACCUACCUCACCACUCUUAAGGAGGAAAAUGAUGAUGAGUUGGGGGAGCCCAUGCCUAAGGAAAUCAAGAGAGUCUUUGAUGAGUUCAAGGACGUGAUGUUGCCUAAGUUGCCUAAAAGACUCCUUCCUAGAAGAGAGAAAGAUCAUAAGAUCGAGUUAGAUGCAGGAACUAAGCCCCUUGCUAUGGGGCCAUAUAGGAUGGCACAACCCAAGCUGAAAGAGCUAAGGAAACAACUUAAGGAGUUGUUGGAUGCAGGGUUUAUCCAACCAUCCAAGACUCCCUAUGGCGCACCGAUUUUAUUUCAAAAGAACCAUGAUGGGUCCCUACAGAUGUGCAUCGAUUACCAAGCACUCAAUAAGGUAACAAUAUAGAAUAAGUACCCCAUUCCACUCAUUGUUGAUCUAUUUGAUCAACUUGGUAAAGCAAGGUAUUUCACUAAGUUGGACUUGAGAUCAGGCUACUACCAAGUGAGGAUUGUGGAAGGAGACAAACUGAAGACUACAUGUGUGACCCGAUAUGGCUCAUAUGAGUUCUUAGUGAUGCUCUUCGAUCUCACCAAUGUACCAACAAUGUUUUGGACACUCAUGAAUAAGAUCUUCCAUCCCUAUUUAGACUAGUUUGUGGUGGUAUACUAAGAUGACAUAGUCAUCUACAAUAGCAUCUUAGAGGAGCACGUGGAGCAUUUAAGGAAGGUCUUCAAGAUCUUAAGGUAAAACGAGUUAUAUGUAAAGAAGAAGAAAUGCUCAUUUGUUAAAGAGGAUGUGAGCUUCCUAGGGCAUCGCAUCAAAGAUGGCAAGCUGAUGAUGGAUGACAACAAGAUGAAGGUCAUCUAGGAAUGGGAUCCACCUACUAAGGUACCUCAACUAAAGUCUUUCCUUGGCUUGGCUAACUAUUACCAGUGGUUCAUCAAGGGUUACUCUACAAAGACAGCUUCACUCACUAAUCUUCUUAAGAAGAACAAGGCAUGGGUGUGAGACAAAAGGUGGCAACAAGCCUUUGAAGAUCUAAAAAGUGUUGUGAUUGAGGAGCCAAUGUUGGCAUUACCCAACCACAUGAAGGUUUUUAAGAUACACACAGAUGCCUCAAACUUUGCUAUUAGGGAAGUUCUGAUAAGAUAGACAUCUAAUCGCCUUCAAGAGUUGCAAGCUAAAUGACAUAGAGAGACGCUACAUGGUACAAGAAAAUGAUAUGACUGUCAUUGUCUAUUACUUGCACACCUGAAGACACUAUCUUCUAGGGUCUCACUUCAUAGUGAAAACCGACAAUGUUGUCAUUAGUUACUUCUAAACACAGAAAAGUCCUAAGUAAGCUAGGUGGCAAGACUUUCUGGUUGAGUUUGACGAUGCGCUGGAGUAUAAGACAAAAAGUACUAAUCAUGUGAAUGACGCCCUAAGCCGUAAUGUAGAGCUAGCAUUCAUGACGAGCCAGCCCCAAUGAGACAUAAUAGAUCUUCUAAGAGAGGGGUUGCAACAUGAUCUAGUGGCUAAGAGCCUUAUUACCUUGGCCCAUGAGGGAAAAACUAAGUGUUUUUAGGUAGAGGACGACCUACUCUACACUAAGGGGAGACUACUCUACGUGCUUAAGUGGGGGAACAUAAGGUAGAACUUGAUUAAGGAGUGCCAUGACACCAAGUGGGUUGGGCACCUUGGGCAACGACGCAUAAAGAGCACUACUCGAGUCAGCUUACUACUGAUCUUAGAUACAAGAUGAAGUUGAGGCAUAUGUGAGGACUUGUCUUGUGUGCUAACAAGACAAGGUAAAACAACAACAACCUAGAGGCUUGUUGGAGCCACUACCUAUAGCAGAGCGUCCAUGGGAGAGCAUCACCAUGGACUUCAUCAUCGGGCUACCUAAGUUGGAGGGCUAUGGCUCGAUCAUAGUGGUAGUGGAUAUGUUCUCUAAGUAUGUGACCUUCAUAGUAGCCUCUACUGACUGUACUGCAAAGGAGACAGCAAGGCUAUUCUUGAAACACAUGGUCAAAUACUGGGGGUCGCCUAAUUACAUCAUCAGUGAUCGCGAUUUGCAUUUCACUAGGAAGUUUUGGACAAAGCUCUUUAAGCUUAUGGGUUUGAAGCUUCACUUCUUCACAAGCUUUUCACCCGUAAACAGAUAGGCAGAUUGAGAGGGUGAACGCCUUAUUAGAGUUAUACUUAUCCUUCAUGAGUGUCAACCAAAAGGAAUGGACUAAGUUGCUAGAUGUAAUCCAAUUUUCAUACAACUUGCAAAGAAGUGAGACAACCAACAAGAGCCCGUUCAAGCUAGCCAUAGGGCAGCAACCAUUGACUCCUCACACACUACCAAUAGGCUAUACGAAGAGAAGUUCAGCGGCUUUGAAGUUCACUAAGGGGUGACACGAGCCAACUGACAUAAUAGCUCAUACUUGGAUAGGGCCGCUAGAAAGAUGAAGAAGUGGGCUGACAAAAAGCGACAUCACACUGAGUACAAGGUCGGAGACAUGGUCUUUGUCAAGCUCCUUCCUAAAAAAUUCAAGUCACUAAGGCCGGUACAUAAAGGCCUUAUGAUGAGGUAUAAAGGACAUUUCCCCAUACUUGGAAAGGUCGGCAAGGUGUCCUAUAGAGUUGAGUUACCACCGAGGUUGAAGAUUCAUAUCGUCUUCCACGUAAGUUACAUAAAAUCAUAUCACGAAGACAAGAAUUAUCCAAGCCAAGGGAUGUCCUAGAUGACACCUACAUCGAUUAUGACCUUCUAUGACAAGGAAGUAGAACACAUCAUUGCAGGCUGAGUCAUCAAGAGAUGAGGCGUGCCUCCUGCUACGGAGUACUUGGUGAAAUGGAAGGGACUACCAGAGAACGAGACUAGCUGGGAGCCAAUAGAUGCACUAUGGCAAUUUCAGGAGCACAUUAAGUGGUUCUAGGUGGAAGGUGCGACAAGGACGUUUACGGUUUAGGUAGGGGAGAGUGUCAUAGAAUGCUUCAAAUGAGCCUCCCCAGGGGUUUAUAUAGAGCCUAAGAAGCUUUUGGAGACUCCUACACUUAGUCAUUGGUGGGAAAAUGGUGGAAGGUUCUAAAGAUGUCUAAAGAUAUCCACACAUCUCUACACUAUGGUGGAAGGUAUGAGAGAAGUCCAAGGCUUUCUAGAAAAUUCUAGAGAUCUCUUGUAUAUUCUUGUACAUAGGCUUGUACAUAGAAUUGUGUAGGAAGUUUUAGAUUAUUCUUGAGUUGUAAGGAACCCUCCAAGAUUCCAAAGAGUUUCAUUGGUGCCUAUAAAUAGGUGAAGGCCUCAUUUGGCCAAGGCACCAAGCAAGUGAGUUCCAAAGCACUUGUAAAGCUUCUUUUAAGUAAUAAAAGCUUCCAUCCUUCAAGAUUUAUCUACUACGCCUUAUAAAGCUUUCAAGUUGUGAGCAUCUUAACCUAGCAAGCUGAGCAUUGGGAGCAAAACUGACUUAGCAAGAUCAAGGGUCUUGACUUGUCUAAGUGUCGCACGAGCUUAGGAAAAGACUAAGUUCAUGACACCUAGGACUAGUAGCAUGCACCCUAAGUAAUCCAAGGCUAGAAAUGAAAUGAUACAAGGAUUCCCAACACUUGACUUAAUUCCUUAGAAAUUGAAACUCAAUAAAAAACAUUAGUGUCAUUAACCUCAUUUUUUUUAUUACCAAUACUUAAUUAGGGGAAACCUUGAGCUAACAACCUCCUCAUUUUUUAUGAUGAUAAAACUGUACCAUCUAAAGAAAGCUUUCCUUAAUGUAUGCAUAUUAUAAGCAAUUUAAACAUUCAUCAUAAAAGAUGGAAAACAUAAACUCAAAUGGAGACAUGGAUAUAUAGAUAUAAGAGACAUCAUAAAGGUUGCAACAUGAUCGUAUAUCCGAAAUAGCAUCCAAAAGCAUGUCAUCCAAAAAAAAAUCAACCAUAAUAACCAUGUUCAAAUUGUCCCAAAAAGGAAAAAAAUAUAUAUAUGAAACAAAAAGUAUUAAAUAGUUUACUAAAUGUUAUGCCCUAGAUACCUAAAGAUAUCUCCCCCUUAGGCAACAUCGAAACAAUGAGGGAACUAUAUGGCUCAAGGUUGAGGUGGUGGAAACAAGGAACAUAGGACAGCUAUUGAAGAAGCUAAAAUUCUUCAUAAAUGAUUGAAUUUUAUUUCACCAUGAGAAACAAUACAAAGAGGGAUUUUUUUUUUUUUUUUUUUUUUUUUAUCAAGGGGAAGACCCCUUUCUCUUUACUACUUAUCCCUUUUAAUAAAAAUUCUUCCACAUUUUUCCACUUUAUUUUGCCAACAUUCUUUCAACCCCUUUUGCACAAAAAUGCCAAAGAUAGUAUUAGGAUAACCUUUUACAACCAUUGCUAACUUUUGACACAAGUUGCUAAAAAUUGUUGAAGAUUUGCUUUUAAUGUCAGGUAGGAUAGCAGAUUGGUUCUAAUUGAAGGUCAUUUCUUGUGGAGGACCUUACUUAUAAGUGAGAUGAUUGUUCCUAUCUUCAUGGUUUUAUGUUGUAUAGUUAUAGAGACUUUUUAGAGGCUAUCAGCUUUAGAGCAAAUUUAUGUUGUUUGUUAGGGAUUAAGUAUUUUAUUCAAAUUGGGUGAAUGGUACUACCUCUUUACUUGAGAUGGCUUUGAGAUUGGGUGGUUGAAUAGUAGUACUUUGGAAUGGUCUAGUUUUUGUUCGCUUUAGCUAUCAUUUUCUUAUGCUGUGUCUAUAGACGAGUGGAGACGUCAUUUGGAAAUUGGUCAAAUUGCCCGUGAAAUUGAUCAAAUUGUCAAGUUGUCAUCCUAAAAUUGACUAAACCUAGUUUGUAAAAAUGAGAAACGACCGUCACUAGCGACUAACAUCUUCUCAAGCUAAGUAUUAAUAGAUCCAAUCUGAGCAUAAAGGGCAUCUUAAUGUUGCAGGUUCAAUGCUCAUGAAGCAUAAUAUUUUGGAUACUUGGUGUGAGACACCUCAGCAUAAGUCUAAUCCAUAAGGAUAGUCUCCUCAGGAGGUUGAGAUGUGGGCAAUUGAAUGGUGGCAUCCAUGCCCUUGGUUUGCAUCUCCUGUUGAACAUCCUCACCCCCUAAUCCUUUAUGGUCACCCUCAGUCUCUAUCUAUAGAAUCUCUGCCUCUUACUCAACCCGGUCUUCAUUCAUAGCAGGACCCUUUCUUUUUCUUUCCAAUGAUCCAUUAGGCAAUUUCUCAAACAGCAUUCGGUCUGGAUUUUACGUUAUAGGUAUCAUAGGAUGAGGCCUGAAUGUUUUUUUCUCUUCUUAUGUCCACAUUGAAUGCUUUCAGGAUUUUUGUGAUCAGUCUUCUUCCGUUGGCCACUACUUUAGAAUUGCUUUUACAACAGUUUUUCAUGUGUUGAAAGAUGAUAAGGAAACCUUAGAAUGGAUCGGAGUCAAUAGAAAAUGCUACAUAAUAGGACACCUUGUCUCUAUGUCCACCCUUAGGUAGAAAAAUAUGUUUGAUCAUGUGGUGGUGCACCCUAGAGAUAAUGCUCAAGGCAUGGGCAUGGAGCUUUGAAGUCACUGUGUCGAUGGGUAAGUUACAUAUCCUCUAGAAAGCCCUACCUAGGUUAAAACUAGACACUAUAGGCCAUCCCUUCGUCUCAAAUAAACAAAGUCCCCCACAAAGGAUCUCCAAAAUAUCACAAAGCAUAUCAAUAUUUAGUUUAAUUCAACUCCUCUAACAAAUGUGCUAAUUGGCCUUCAUAUAUUUUAGGUUCAAGUAAAAUACCUGAACAAGGUUGGGGUAUGUAGGCUCUCUUGAUGAGAUGGUAUUGGUGAGUAUUUUUUUUUCUUCAAUACAAAACUAUUACAACACUUGGUUUUUUUUUUUUCUAAAAAAAAAAGAAAAAUAAAAAUAGUUUUAUAUUAUACUUAGUUUCAAGAAAAAUAAUAAUCAAAGCAAAAUGAAAAAAAAAUUCUCAUAUUGGUUUCUCGUGAAAAAUAUAAAAGCAAAUAAAAUACAAUUAAAAUUAAUUAAAAUCUUAUGUAUUUUUAAAUUAUUAAUUUUUAUAUAAAAAAUGAAAAAUAGUAUAAUGAAUUUAGAAGAAUAUAUAAAAAUAAUGUAUUAACUUUAAAUCUUUUUUUCUUUAUAUAUAUAUUUUCCCUUCAAUUUUCUAAUACCAACACAUAAUAAGGUUAAUGUCUUCUAGCCAACCAAUUGUAAGUCAAUUUUCAUAGAGCUUUUUUUUUUUUUUUUUUUUACAUGCCACCAAGUAGUUAUAUAAGCAUUUUUGCAUGUUAUUGUUAUCCAACAUACAAUAACUAUAACAUCCAAUUAUUAUGAACAUGAACAAUAAAAUUAGAUGCAACUAACUAUUUAGUGUAUAACAAGAAGUUGGUGAAGUAAUUCAUCCUAACAUGAUUCAACAAUUUUUGUUUAUUUUUCAAGAUUAAUUAUAACAUACCCAUUCUAUUAAAGUUGUUGAGAUAUUUGAGCAAAACUAAAAAUCAACAUUAAUUCAUUUUAUACCCACAAGAGAAAUAAGAUUUGUUUUUUUGUUUGAUAAUAAAGUAGUUGUAGUUAUUAAUGAUAAUUUUGAUCCUAAUUUAAUAGGUAUCCAAAAAAAAAGGAAAAAUGCAAGUAAACCAAUUCUUAUCUAACACAAUUAUUACCACCUUAAAAUCCUGAGGGGUAGCUCAGUUGAUCAGUUCGAGUCCCUUUAGGACCAUGAAAAGCUUACCCGAUGGUUCACCUUAAGAAAAGCAAAGCAUUUAUAUAAUUCAACUGGUAGUUGAUAAGUCUUAGAAAGGGUUUUGCCAUCAUUGGCUUCUCAGUAAAGGGCAAAUUUGGGUUGUGGCUGACAAUUAUUGAAUUUGUGAAGAAAUAUGUGAAGAAAGGAAACAAAAAGAGUUGAGGACAGAAUUCUUCAAUUAAAAAAUGGUUAGCCCAUGAACCCAUUCUUCAAACAGUAAGCCAAUGAGCCAAUGAGCCAAAAAGAAAGAAGAACAGCUGGUUUCAUCUUUUUAUCUUAAUGACUUUGACAACCCAUCUUUCUUUUAAAUACUUGUGACUUUGGAAUAUAAUUAAAAUGAAACUUUGGAAUGCCCACAUCUGAUUCACGGCCUUUUUACCUGUUUUCUUGUUUAACAUUUUUUUAAAUAUUAUAACAGAUGGAAAAACAUGAUUCUAACAGGCUGGAAAAUAGUGGAAGUUGGAACACCAACCAUAACCAAACUAUACCUUCCAUCUUUCUCCAACACUCGGAAUUAUUGAUACAAGUUGGUGGUUUUAUGAUUGUUUCUAUUGAGGGGACCCCUCUCCAUUUCCAAUUUCAAUGGAAAGGUUCUUCUUUCCCUACUUUUUUUUUUUGUUUUUCAAAUUCUUGUAGUUUUGUCUGUCUCUCUCAACAAAGCAAACUGCAAUCACUAAUUCAAAGAAAAGGAAUCCUAAAUGAAAAGAAAAGAAAGGAAAGGAAUGGUAAUUUAGGCUAUGAUGAUGCUCCUAUAUAAUGGCUGUAAGUCAAUAACAACACACUGGACCCGCCUCCUAUCUCAAAAGAUCACAAACCCAAAUAUCAUAUACUUCCAAAUUUCAAUUUGGUUCCCUGUUUAUAUCACAAUCUGUCCUAUAUCCUCUUAAUACAUCUAAAAUCUCUCUAUAUCAUAAAAAUAAUGAUGGAAAAAAAAAUUAAAAAGAAAGAAGGAAAAAAUGACAAAAAAAAAAAAACCUUGGUGCUGCUAUGGGUCCAUAGGAAUUGGCAGGACUGCACUUCUGGAUCCCCUUCCAUGGCCAAAAGAAAAGAAUGAUCUUCGGAAUCUGCUGCUGCAACCUUCACUAGGGCUGAAGUCACUGACAGGCCUGUUCUGUUGCAAAAUCUCUUGAAUUGCUAAAUACAGCUGCCUGUCGUUGGAUGAGUCCAUUGAAAAAGACCUCCUGAUGGGUUGGAUUGAGAACUGAUCAUCUUUGCCUCUAGUGUCAAUGCACUCAUCACCCAUGCUUGCAACAUGAUGAAACUUCCUUGCCUUUUUAGGCACAAUUCUCUGCUCUAGCUUCCUAGGUGAUGGACUAAUUGAUGGCGCAGAUAACUCUCUGGAAUUCAGUCUUUCUGGUGGCCUAAGCAGUGAUGAAUCAGCAGAACUAUCAUUUCCCAAUUCAAUUACUACAAAAUCUUCAUCCCCUCCUAUGUAAUUAUUGGCGUAGGGGCUUGGAUCUUGGGGGGAAGAGCUAGGAGCAAUGAUUUGGUGAACAGGAAACCGGGGUGUGGUUGAAAUGCUUGUUCUGCAAAGUGGGCAAUUAGCAUUGCUUUGAAGCCACACGUCUAUGCAAUCUAUAUGAAAUAUGUGACUGCAGUUUGGUAUGAUUCUUAGCUUCUCUUCUUCUUGAAACUCAUUCAAGCAAACCGCACACUCGCAAUGGCUUCUUUCUCCAAACUCUCUGCCACCUCCUUUCCUGAACUGGAAUAUUGGGAUUGAUCUGAUGACUGACUCGUCCAGGCCUCGACUCUCGAUUGCUGGGGAGUACACCAUUAAAGGGUCUUCCGGGUGCCGACUCCUUGAGAAAGAAAAUCGUCUCAGCAGAUCAAUCCGGUGCCAAUUGAGGCAGCAUUUGAUUACAAAGAUGUAGUAGCUCACCAGCAAGAAAGCAGUGGCCAGGAUUCCUAUUACGGCAAUGGCUAUAAUGGGGAAACUGGUGUCCGAGGAAUGAGAGGGAGAAGGAAGCACUGAGCUCGCCUGGCUUUUGAUGGGAGAAAAGGCUUGUGAUCCAUGGAUGGAGGAGUCUGUGCUCACAAGAUCCAUGAGAGAGGCUAUGAAAAACAUUUAGAAAUGAGUCUAUUCGGAUCUUCAAUUCACAGAAACAUGCAAAUGCUAGAAUAAAAUCGACAGACACUCAGAUAUAGACCCUACAGUUGUAAUGCAGCAUACCAUAAAUGUGAUUGAGUGAGUGAGGCUGAAACAGCAAAUGGGUCACUUCAAGAUCUCAACAAGACAGAAAACCCAUGUUGAAUUCACCAGGAGAGUAUUGAAAAGGGAAAAAUUAAGGACAUAUAGCUGUAUUGAAAGUUGAAACAAAUGCAGAAACAUAGAGAAGAGAGAGAGAGGGAGAAAACCCAGGAGGGUUGAAUGAGAGCGCUGCUGGGGAAGACAUCAAAACGCUUCAAAUUCAAUGAGAAUCUGUUGGGGACCUCUUUAAGAGGACUGCACAAAGCCUGAGCGUAGGGUACGUGGUUGGUUGGUGAAUUUCUCGGCUUCCAAAAGAGAAAUUUGGUGAGAAAAUUUUCAAGUCUCUUGAUUAUAGUAACGUAGCGUUUAUUUUAAUUUUAUGUAACCGAAACUAAUGGGCUGGUUCAAAAAAAUAAAAAAUAAAAAAAGGAACUUUCUAGGAUAGGCCAGCAGUCCACCGUUGGUCAUGUGGUUUCUUUUGCAUGUCCACAUCUUCCAACUAGUGGAGGUCCCUGUCACAACAGUAAGAAAACACCCAAUUGAAUAAAAGUAUGAACUUUUGGCUCCCAAUAUUACUUAUGCCCUCAUUCAAUACCUCAAAUAAAGCAGAGAUUUUGUGUCCCAACUUUUAUGAUUUCAUUUCAUCUUACUUCAAAUGCUAAUGACAAAAGUCCAAGUAUAUUCUGUAAUCACCCACACCCCAAUAGUUUUGAAUCACACUUGAAAUAGUUCCCAUGCUUUCUUAAUAAUUUAGAUAAUUAUUUACAGAAAAAAAAAUUCAGAACAGGAUGAUAAUCAUUUUGUGAUAGCAUGGAAGAAACUUUACUAGCCACUUUGGCCCCAUGAAGUUGAGUACUUGAUGCCAAUUAAUGGCAGGGUGGAAAAUAGAGAAAAGGGAUCAUAGUCAAAUCUAGAGUACAAGGCAUUGAAUCUUUGUUAAUAAUUAACAAAUGGGUAAAGCAUGGGUCACAGGGUCUACAGUUUGGAUUGCAAAAACCUCAGGCUUCUAUAAAAAGCUCAUCCAUUAUCAAUCAUCAAUCUGAAAGCCAGAAAGUCCAAGGCACAUGCAACCCACGACAGGGGUAAGAUUUCUGCAUCAUGUCCCUGAGUUGCAUUCACAUCAUAUGUUUCCCUCCGGGCCGUUCCAAUUUGAAAUCUCAUGGAAAUCUUCAAGAGCAAGGCUACAGAGUUUAAGAUAAUACUAGGGGUGGGUCCUGAUGGGAAAAGAGGUAGUGUAGGAUAGUCAAUAAAGGGCAUGUGUCUCUGGUGUGAAGUCAAAUCCAGUGUACCAUCCUCAAUGGAAAAUUUAGAAAUAGAACCGACACUCUACAGACUGCCGUGUUGACAGAUUAGAGAAAGACAAACCCACUUACACUUGCCUCAAAACCCAGUCCUGCCAUUUCAAAGGCAAAAAAAAAGGGUUUCUUUUUAUAGUCAAAGGUUGAGGCCUGGCCUGGCCUAGCAAAGAAACUUCACCUACUCUUUUCUUAUUUUUCAAAUUAAGGCCAUUCAACUUUUCCUGUUUGCAGGCUUGCUGCCAUAUCUUACUCCAAAAAAGGUGAAAACCCAAAAGAAAAAGAGUGUUUGCUUCAAUGGAAAACUCAUGUUUAAUAAAUUCACCGCACGAGUUUUGUUCCAGCUUUUCCUAUGAAAGCUGUGAUGCGUUUGGUAUGAAGUUGAUUUUGUUCCUAAAAAUUUUGAUCUUGGCGUGGAAGGCAACUUUUUCCUUUUCCCCCUUUUUCUUUUUGAAAAGUUCGGCAUUAGUUACCAAAUGUCCUUUUACUUGCAUGUAGGACAGCGGAAGCAUUACACAUCGCAGCAAAAUCCCAUUUACCCGAAUUUUCCACUAACUCUUUUUAUUUUUUACCAUCAUUUUUUAAUAGAAGUGAUGCACUCUUCAAAUUACAUGAAGCUUUUAAGAAGGUAAUAACCCGUUUCAAAGCGAACUUAACCUACAGAGUAUGUUUUAAAAAUAUUUAGGUAUUUGAUAAAAUUUAAAAAAUAUUUUUUAAAAUCUUUAAAAUGAUUUGUAAUAUUGAAAAUUUAUUUAUACUUUUUUUAAUAAAAAAACAUUUUAUAGGUAAUUUUUCUAAAAUACUUUUAGAGAAAAUGUCUUCCCUUCACUAUAAAUAUUAUAUACUAUCAAAUACACUUUAAAAAUCUGUUUAACAAUAAUUUUAUAAAGUGUUUUUAAUUUUAAAAAUAUUUUUAAAAACAAAUUAAAUUUUUGAUAAAAUUUAAAAAAUCUUUUUAAAAAUUUUGAAAAAUAUCUCGUAAUAUUAAAAAAUAUAUAUAUUUAUAAUGUUUUUUAUAUAAAUACUCAAAAUUCAUUUAAUAGUGAUUUUAGGAAAUGUUUUUAAUAUUUCUAAUACUUGAAAAUUUUUUAUCAUUUAAGUAUUAAAAAUAUUAAAAACACUUUAUAAAAUCACUUUCAAAUGGACUCUUAAUGAUUUUACUAAAAACACUUUUCAUAGAAAACAUUUAUAAAAAAUAAUUAUGAAAUACACUCUAAAUUAAGUAAAAGUUGUUUUUAACAUUACCACUAUUUAUUAAUAGUGCAUUUGUUUAAAAUAUUUAUAUGAAAAAUUCAUUAGGGUGGGAUAUAAAUAUAGAAGUGUUUUUCUUUAUAUAUUUUUUAUAAUAAAAAAUGAUUUUUGAAAUUAUAAAAUUUGAAUUUAAGAAUCAUUUGAUAAUAAUUUUUGUUAAAGCACCUUUAAUACGUGGUGCUUCUAUUGAUAGCGCUUUCAUUUCUAUGAAUGGCUAUAAAUUAUAUUUGAAUAAAUUUUUUAUAAUGUAUUAUAUAAUAAAAAAAAAGUCAUUUUUAAAAAAAUUAUACAUUAAAUGAUUAUUCAAAUAGUAUUUCCUAAAUUUUAUUAAACAUUUUUUUCAAAAAAAAAAAAAAAGUUUUCAAAUACUAGAAAACGUUUUUAAUCUCUCACACGAUCACAUCCAAACAAGUCCUAAUGCUACUCCUAGAAACACUCCAAAACAAAAGUCUUCCUCUAUUAAUGUUCAUAAAAUCCACAUAUAUUCUUCCAUCGUUUUUUCAAAAUUCAAAAUCAUUUCUAAAACAUCAAAUCAUGUUCUUUGGAUUGGCUGACUUGUUUUUUGAAAAUAGAAGGCUCAUUAUUGACGUCCGUUGACUUCAUAACCCAGUCUUGAUCUCUUGAUGGAGGGCAUAAAUGUAAAUUGGACGAAACCCUAGGGUGCGCUAGAGUGUAGAGGAUGAAAGGUUGGAAAAAGGAUGAGGUGGGGGUGUAAUAAAGAGGAGGGUUGGGAGAAUGGGACAUGUGUAGGUGAAGCAUUAAAUUCAAGACUAUGCUUACCAACAACAUAUAAAUAAAUAAAUAAAUAAAUAUAGGAACAGCACAUGGGGUGAGUAGGAGACAUCAGAAGAUGUGAACAACCCCUUGUCAGUCCAAUUUGCGUCUUUUAUCUACUCUAUUAUCUAUAUCGAUUUUCGUAUUUAUUUAUUUAUUUAUUUAUUUUUACCAUUUGAUUUUGCAUGGAUGUCGAAGGGUUUAUUGGCUGCCACGUGUAGGGUUAUGGUCAAGAUCACGUGGGGUGCCUACAUGGGAGUCACGUGAGUGCAUGAGGCAGGCUUGAAUUGCAGGAGGAGCAGGAGCAGAGCAGUGGCUGUUGUCUUAAGACUUUGCUCUCUUGGUGGAACUGCAGCUUAAGCAGCAUCCACGUGUUGUCACGUGCAAUGCGAGCCAUCCACACCACCAGUUUCUUUUUAGUGAUUUUCUAAAGUCAGUUAAGGUUGCAGUCAAUACCUUCAAAUGUUGACAGAGUUAGGGAUCUUUGUUAAAUGGAUUUUAUUAAGAUAUUAGUAAGUUAAUUAAUUGAGGGUCAACAUAACAGAUGGGUCGGGUUGGGUUGAAUCUGAAUUUAAAACGAUUUAAUUUAUGUUUAAUCAAAUUUAACAUUUAACUCGAAGCACUCAACUUAAGUUUAAUUGAAUCUUAGUUUUCAAAACAUUAUUUAAAUUUGGGUCAUUUGGAUUAAAGUCAAAUGGGUUAGAUUAAUCGGGUUAUAUGGUUCAAAAUCCACUUACCUUAUUUUUUAUACAUUAAUAUUAAAAUUUAAAUAAAAAAUAUUAGAAGAAAUUUCAAACUUGGGAUUAGUUGAUUGUAGCCAUGCAUUUGGAUGUUGGUAUUCUUGUUUCUUGUCUUGUUUCCAAAUACCCUUUCAAAUCGCUUUGUUAUUCAAUAGCAUCCUCCCGAUCAUUUAAAAAUUUAAAGAGCAUUGGUAUGAUGGAGGAAUUCAGAAAUUUUAGUUGAAUAAGUAAAAUUUUUCUCUCAUAAAACCAAAUAGCCUCUAUAGCUCAGUGGUAGAGCGUCAGUCUUGUAAACUGAAGGUCUGUAGUUCGAUCCUGCAUGGAGGCAACUUUUUAUAUUUCAUGAUCCAUUAUGCUCUAGUGAUUUAGUUUUCAUUAUAAUUUUAGAUUAAAAAAUUACAUCAACAUUUGAUAAGUUGGUUAUGACUUUGAUAUAAGGAUGAAACUAUCAAUAAUAUAUAUAAAUAUUUUGACACAAAAUAUCUAAUAUAUUAAAAAAUUAAAAAAAAACUCUAAAAAACAUUAUAAAAUUAUAUAUAUAAUUUAUCAUAUUUAAUAAUAAUAUCUUCUACCCUAAUAAAAAAUAUAAAUUUUAUAAGCAUACAUUUAUUAUUACAUUGUAUUAUAUAUUAUUUUACAAGAAUAUUAUGAUAACAUGUCUAAUUUUAAAAUAUAUUUAAUAUUAAAAUUAUCAUCAAUUUUAAUUUAAAUGUAUUUAAUGAUAUCAAAUAAUAUAUAUAUAUAUAAUUUUUUAAUAUUUAUAUAUUUUUAUAUUUAAUAAAUAUAUAAAUUAUGUAAAAAAAAAAGACCUAUUAAGAAGAUUAUGUUUUUAUAUUUGGAUCAAAAUUAAGUUUUUCCGAUAAAAUAUAUGAAACUAUUGAUAAAUUAUUGAUUGAAACGUGAAAAAAAAAAUUCAAAAAAUAGAUGAGAUAUUAGUAAAAUAUCCGAAAAUAUUGAUUGAUGAAUAUAUCAUUUCAAAUUUUGCAUCAACAUCCACAUAUGUUGGAUAUAUUGGCCAAAUAUAUUUAAACCUUGUUUCCAUGAGAAGUCUUUCCUUCAACAAUUUCAAAAGGUUAAUGAGGUGGUUUCCAAGAGAUGUGUGUAGGGGUCUCCAACGGGCGGGCCGGGCCAGCGGGCUUUUUGAAAUAAGCCAAAAUGGCUUUCAAAAAAGGGAAGGGAGAGGAUUUAAACCCCUUCCUUCAUGCUUAAAUUUCAAGGUUCUAACCAAUUGAACUACAUUCCUUUAAUGUUUAUUAAUUGAGUUAGUUAUAUAUAUAUAUAAAAAUAAAGUAUAUUAUUUUUUAAAGGGGCGGGCCUACGGGCUGGGCCGGGCCGAAAGCGGGCCACGGGCCACGGGCUUUUUGGAGACCCUUGGAUGUGUGCAAUCACAUUUGGUAUUAUAGGUGACAAAGUUUGAUAAAUGAGUAAUUAUUAGGUUAACUUAUAAAAUCCGAAUUUGAUUUAAAUUGAUUCAUUUAAUAAUCCCAUUUAUUUACCCAAUUAAAACUUUAAAUUAUUUAACUUAUAUUUAAUUUAAUUAAAAUUUGUUUUUAAAUAAAUAGAUCAAUUAAAACAUAAACAUAUUUGAUUGAAACAUUAAUAAUAUAGAUUUAAAUAAGACCUAAUUCAACCUAACGAUCAAAUAGAAAUAUCUAAUUAUUAAAUAAAUUAAACAUGUUACUUGCUUAAUAAUUAUGUGACAUUUGAAUUUAUGCUUUUGAUAUAAUUAUUAUUUAUAUCAGGUUUAUAUAAUGAAAUAUCUAGACUUUGACACCAGUCAACAUUGUCCACCAAUACAGAUUGCAACUCUUAUAUGCUACAUCACAUCAUGUUGAAGGAAGAGGAUGACGUUCAUUGGCAGCAGAGCCUCCAAUCAUAAGGAGCUUGAGCAAAUUCAAUCUCAACACUGAAAUUCACUAGAAAAAAAGUUUAUUAUUGAUACUUCAUUUGUGUAAAAGCAUUAUAUUUCUUGCAUCAAUCGUAAAGCAUGACAUUCCAGUAGGUACGGAAGAGAAAAUUUGUUAUGAAUUGAAAAAUCUGUCAAGCUUAAUUUGGAGGGCCCAAAAUUGACACGUUUAAGAGCUCUAUCAUUAGCCCAAUGAUAAGAGUCCAUUUCUUGAGUUUCAAGGAAGGCCCAAGUUUAACUUAGAGGGCCCAAUCUUGGUACCUUCUAAAAGGUGCAAACUUUGGCCCAAUUAUAAAAGCUUAUCCUUGCUUCCUAAGCAUCAAUGAUAUAUUUGAUCGAAGUAUUCACAUAACUAUCACGAAAUGAAAUGAAAUGAAAAUGUAUAAGUAAAUGAUGAUUUUGAGUUAUUUACUGACAAUAAAGAAUUAGGUGGUGUUUGUUUUUUUUUUUUUGGCUUUUUACUAAAAGCAAUUUGUUUUCAGAAUUUAGGUUAUUUAUUUUUCUAUUUUUUCAUGACUUAUUAUAAACUUUUUACUAAAUAAGAAAAUCCAAAAUAUAUAGUUUUUUCUAAAUAGAAAAAAUAACAUAUUGGUUUUCUUUUUUUUUUACUUUUUAAUAUUUAAUAGAAAUAAAAUAUUAUAAAAACAAACAACCUAAUAUUUAACACUAUUAAGUAUUAAGGUUUUAUUUAGAAUUAAGUAAAAAAACAAACACUACCUUAAAAUGAAAAGUAUGUAUAAUGACCUUAUACAAAAAAAGUCUCAUUAUUUUCUUCCAAAGAACUCAUACUUUUGUUUUUCAACUAUUACUUUGUUUUUAUUUUUUAAAUAAUAUUUCAAGUUUUUUUUAAUAAUACCUUUCUCUUUAUUAGAUAAUUUUAAUGACUUUAAAAGUAUUUUAAUAUAUUAAUUUAUUAUAUAAUUUUAAUGAUUUAAAAAUAUUUAAAUGUUGAAAUAUUUAUUUUCAAGUCUAAUUUUAAUUAUUUAUUUUUUGAAGUAUUUAAAUAUAUAAUAAAUGUGGGAUUAUGUAAAUCUAGUUGUAAUUAUUUAUUUCAUUCUAUUCAUGUUUUUAGUUGAAUUUGCUCAAAAUUUACACCUCUUUAUUUAAAGAUCAUGGAUUAGUUAGGUGUCUUGAGAUUUUUUUUCUCUCAAGACACUACUUGUUACACUAGAAAAUAAUUUGUGGCUAUAUUUUUUAGGCAAAAAGAAUUAUAUGUUAAAACUUCCUUUAUUGACUAGUUUAUCAUAGGGUGUAGAGGAAAGUUUGUGAUGUCUUUUUAUGUCAACUUUGGGAGAAAAAUAUCACUUUAGCAUUUUCCUUAGAAAAUUUUCAUACAUAAUUGAUUUUGGAACUAUGGAGGAGCAUAAGUAGGGAUAGAUAAUUCGAUUUUGGAAAAAUUAUAAUAGCUUUUCAACUUGGUGUUAAUGAUAUAUUGUUUAUUUCUUAUUUUUUUUCCAUUUUAAUAUAUAAUUGGGGAUUUUAAACUUGUAGAACAAGGCUUUUUCAAUUGAAUUGACACGUACAUAUGAAAGUUCUCUUUGGUUGCUAAUCACAUUUUUUUUUCUUUUGCUUUUUGUUUUUAUCAUAAUGAAUAUUGAACUCGAAAUUCAGUUUUUAAAAUCUUAUGAUGUUUUAAAGUUUAUAAAUAUUAUUGAUUUUUAUAAAUGAUGUUAUUCAUAUCUUGGUAAAGACAAUAUUUUCAUAUCGGUCAAGAUGAUUAAUAACAUAUAAGUUCAUAAAGAAAAACCUAUUGAUUAAUGGAUAUUUAAUGAUUUUUAUUAGGAAUGUUUUUUAAUUAGUUUCAAUACUCAUCUUUUAGAGCAUACAUAUAGGGUUUUAGAUGCUACAUUGGUUUUCAGCUUGUGAUUUAAAUUAUUGAAGCAAAAAAUGAGGGUUUUGCUUUAUGGAACUAUCUAAAGGGAGGUGAAUUAGGCGGUCUUCCUUUUUAAAAUCCAAAAAUUAGAUUUUUAAUACUUAUAUUAGUUAUACAUGUGUUCAAUAAUUAAAACAAAGAACAAGUCCAUAAUUUACAUGUGAUGUGCAUGGAAAAACACCUACAAAUUCUCUCAAAUACUUUACAAAUGAAAAAAAAAUCAAGGAUCGAUCAAUCACAGAGCAACUUCACUAAAUAUGAAAACAUGACUAUACAAUUUUACUUGGAUGAGGUGCUACCUUCUCUUAAGGGUUUUUACACUAGCCAACAAUUACACUCACCUUCACUCUCACCAUGCACCUCUAUUGUGCUCCAUAGUAAACACUUUAAUGACUGUAGCAAGAUUGCGAUAAAUUACUGCGAUUAAUUUGAGAGUGUUGAUAAUGAACAAAAAAUAAUGAUAAUUAACUAGAGAGCAUAUGAUUUUGUAAAAACACCAAAAAGAGGCAUAGUUAUAAGUGAAAACUUUAAUGGAUUGGAUUGAAUAUAUAAUUGAAGUAUGAAUGAAAAAUUACCAAAACAAUGUUCAAAACCGUGCUAAUCAAAGCACAAUCACUUGAGUACUCUCAUGGGGCACUUGAAUGCUCCUUUUAAUCACCGUAAUGCUGAAAUUAAUAAUUUGUCUCAAAUUGUUUUUCCAAAACAUAAAGCAAAAUAUUAUAAAUUUAUAUAAUCAAACCCAAUUUCAUCUUAAAGCUAGCCUACUUAGUCUUAAUUCAUGUCCAAAAAUACUCAUACUUGUCAAAGAAUGAAUAUGGUAUAAACAAAUUCUUUAUUUUCAAUUAUAUUCAAUUAUUGAAAGAAUAAAUCGGUUUACAUACAUUUUGAACAAAGGUAUAUACACAUAGACUAAAUCAAGGAAAUGAGGAAAUCAAUCACAAUCAAAUCAAAAUCAAAUGAUAGGUUGAUAUCUAGGAGAAGGUUAAGUUAGAACCAACUCAUGUAUUCAAUAUUCCCCCUUAAGAUGGCAUAUGGAGAUCAUGAAUAUCAAACCUAGAAAGUAAGGGAUAUGAAAUAUCUAUACCAAGGGAUUUUAUGAAAUAUCAACCAAUUGUUGUUGUGAUUAAACAAAUUGAAUAAGAAUAAUUUCAUUUCGAAUCUUUUCAUAGAUCAAGUGACAAUCAAUUUCAACGUGUUUAUUCUGUUCAUGGAAAAUUAGAUUAAUAGCAAUGUAUAGAGUUGUAUUAUUGUCACAAUAUAGAUGCAUUGACCAAGGAUGAUGAACUCCAAAAUCUAUAAGUAAAUAUUGCAACCAAUGCAAGUAGUAAUCAUUAAAUAAUAUUUCACUUUUCUUCAUGAGUGUUAUAUCAUUGAUUGCUUUUUAGAUCUUCAAGAGAUUGAUAGGCCACCAAGUAAAAUACAAUACCCUAUAAUUGAACAUCAAGAUUAUGCACAAUAGGCAUGGAGGAAGGCAAAAGAAUUCCUUGACCUAGACGAUUUUUUAAAUAGUAUAACACUCAUGUACUUGUGAGAUAAUUGAGACUACAUUGGCUUGUCAAGAAUUUGAACAUAAUUAGCAAUAUUAAGCCCUAUCAUUAUGAGUCAAAGUAACUUCCCAAUCAAAUGCCUAUAAUAAGAAGCAUCCAACAAAGGUUCUCUAUCUAAUUUACUCAAUUCCAAAUUUUGUUUCCUAGGAGUUUUUAAAGUUACAUGUUCCAAGAAAACCAAAAUCUUUUAGUACUUCUAGAGCAUGUUUUCAAUAACUUAAAUAAAUCUCAUUCUUAAAAUAUGUCAUUUCAAUGAUGAUGAAGUACUUUAAUUUUCCAAUCUCUUAGUUAGUUUGAAAAUGCUAUAUAGGUUUUCCUUGACCACCUUAAUUCCUUUAAGAUCAUUCAUUGUAAUAAUUAUAUCAUAAAUGUAAACAAGAAUGAUUGUGAAAUAGUUAUUUGAGGCUUGAGCAAAUAAGAAGUAAUAUGUACGUCUUGGCUUGCUUGUAAACCAUAAACAUCAAUGUGAUAGAUAAUUUGGCAAACCAUCAACGUGAAGCUUGCUCAAGGCCAUAAAGGGAUUUUUUAACUUUGCAAAUCAUAUUUUUGGUUCUAGAUUUCCUACAAACUUGGUGGAAGCUGCAUGUAUACCUCUUUAUCUAAGUCUUCAUAAAGAAAAACAUCGUUGAUGUCAAGUUGGUGAAGAUGUCAAAUUCUAAUUAUACAAUAAUUAGGGGUGACAAUGUGUCUUAUCGUGUUGAGGUGAGAAAUAGUGAAAAUUUACUUAAUCCGACUAUGACCCGUUUGAUAAUCGUGUCAAAAUAACCUAACAUGAAUACAAUUAGUUUAUUUCAUGUAACAUGACCCUUUUAACAUGUUUAAUAAAUAUAUUAACUUGGAUUAUGUAUUAAUUGACAUGAAUAACUCAUUAACUUGAUUUCAACCCCUUAAACUCAUUAACACAAUUCCAACCCAAUAAACUCGUUAAUAUGAUUUAACUCAUUAAACUUGUUAAUAGGAUUAUAACCUCUUUAACCUAUUUAAAAUUUUAAAUUUAUAAAUAAUAAAAUACUUCUAGAAAGUUUAAUUUUUAAAAUUUGAACUAUAAUACAUGUAUGCACCAAUUUCAUGAAGUCCUGAAAAAUUAGCAAAAUUAUAGAAAAAUAAUAUAAACAAAAAUUUGUAUUAAAAUUAAUAAGUAUGGGCUACAAUAUUAGUCAUAGUACUGCUUAUUUCUGAAUGACUUUAUUAAAAAGCGAAGAAUACAUGUGUAGUUCUUAUGUGAUUUCUUAAACUUGUAAGGCGAUUUUAUAAAGUUUUUUUUUUCUUUGUGAAACCUCUUUUUCUAUGUGAAAUUGUUUUGCCGAUUUGAAAUCUUCAUUAAAGGAAGUUACUAUUAUUUAUAAUUGAAAUUAGAGAAUGAAAUGUGGAAUCCCCAUGAUUUAGUUGCUUAAUUCAAGGAAUUUGAUUAAUUGAUUUUGGUAACUUGUCUCAUAAAAUUUUCUAACAAGAAUAUUUAUUUUUAAUCUCUUUUAUUUCAAUUGGAAUAUUUGUUUCCUUUGUAAAUUUGUCAAUAGAAUAUUUAUUUAUUUAUUUAAUUCUCUUUUGACUACAAUGAGAAGAUUUGAUUUUGUUUGUAAGACUAAAUUUUAUAACCUUUCAAAUUUGGCCAAGUGACACCUUUUGAAUAUAUGUCACAUGUCAAAUGUGUGUGACUCAUUAGUUGUUGAACCUAAAUUUUCUUGAAUUAGAAAGCUAUACUUUUGAAGACUAAUUUAGUGAUAAUUUAAUUCAUUAAAUUUUUUUGGUGUCUACAGUAUAUUUAUAAUAUGAAAAGUAAAUUAAAAUUUUAAUUUUUUUACUUGUUUAUUAUUUUAUUUAUUAUUUAAUGAUAAAUAUUUUUAUUCUUUAUUGAAAUAUAUAAAAUUUUAAUUAAUAUUUUAAUUUUUUUAAUUUCUAUAUAUAAAAUAUAUAGAUUUAUAUGGUCUAAUUGAGUCAUUAAAAUAAAUAGGGUAAAUAACUCACACAUAAGUGAUGGAUCAUUCUAACAUGAUUAAAUUAACAAGUUAGAUGAAUUGAGUAGUCAAAUACAAACAUGAUUUGUUUAUUAAAUAAGUUAUAUGAAUUGAUACGAUUAUGACAUCAACUCAAUUAAACUUAACUCAAAUAAGCUUUGUCUUUUAUUUUAAGUUGUCUAGUUGUUCACACAAAUUUUCUCAAAAUAAAGAAAUUAUAUAUAAAAUUGUAAAUUUGAUUAUUUGAGGGGACCAUUUUCAAUACUCUUUUUUAAGUAAUCUGGUGUUUAAUUUUGAAUCAAAGGGGCUUUCAUUAACAAAUAAUAGACUGUAGUUUUCAUAUAAGAAGAAAUCUCAAGCCUUUUUUUCUUGAAGGAAUCUUUAAAUUUUCUUUGAUACUUUAAAAAAUCAAUCUUCUUUGAUUUUUUAAGAAAUCUUUGAAUUUUCUUAAAGUCUUCAAAAAAAAAAAAAAAAAAAAAACUGAGUUUAAGGAAUUUUUUUAAUAACUCUCCAAAUUUCUUUGAUAUUCCAAAGUGUCCUUUAGAAGGGGACAAAUCCUCUAUUUACAGGAUUGAGAGUUUUAUUUUAAUAUUAUCUCUUAAUUUUUAAGAAAUAACUCUCUUAUUUAUGAUAAUUACUAUUUAUUUUAUUUAUCAUAAUUAGUUGCCUAUGAUAAUUAUCAUAAUUAAUUUUUCUAGAGAUAAAUAAUUAUAUAUAUUUAAUUAAUCAUGAUAACUAUAAUAUUUAUUUAAUUUUUUAUUAAAUUAUUUUACAUAACAUAUCAAUAUAUAUUAUUAGUCAAUUAUUAACACCGAAAAUUAAUGAGUUGGCAUAAAAUUUAUCUCUCUAUAAUAGUAUCAAAGCGAGCCUUAAUAAUAACAUUGCUUAUAGUCAAUUUCACAUGCCAACUUUUUACUGGGCAUUGGCGAUUUCAAUUUUGAUAGUCCGGUUAGAAAAAGUAGGUAAAGAUUAUUUGAUGUGGUAGGUCAUUUCUUUCAUAAAGACGAUGGCGGUGAAUUCAUGAGACAGGUGAUAAAGGAGAGAUUCUUUCUUUUGGCUUUGGAAUUUUAAUGAGGUCCUCGAUCCUCAUCCAAAAUACACCUCUCCAAUUAUAAAAAUCUUAUUAAAAAAAAAAAGAUUUGACAUGUGCCUUUCGAACUGCUGGUUUUCUGUUCCAAAAAUGAGAAUGGUUUCAAGUGGAUGAAGGAAGGUGAAGAACCCUUGGUUUUGUUAAGCGAAAAGCCACAUGAUUAAAUAAACAUAAGGCGGCAAAGGCUGAAAAUUUAAAAUUAUACUAAGGAACCCACCCCACAGGGCGACUACACUUUUGGUGAAGCCACGAGAAUGAAAGAUAUCGAAGGUGACACCAAGACAUUAAGCAGCACCAAGGUUUCGAUAUAUUAUAAGAUGGGAUCUUAUGAAAGACGAUCUCUAAUCUCUCUCCAAUCUCUUCUUUAACCUUUUCUUACUUAAAUCCAUUUCCAUGGUAGGGCACAUGUCCAGCUGACCCUACCCCCUCACCUACCUAUACUGCUAUACCCUUUUGUAUAAUUUGAUAUGGAUUGGAAGCCACCCCAACAUCUUUCUAAUUGCUCGUAAAUGUUGAGGUGCCUUUCCAUUUUGAGGCUGCCCUAAUGUGUGGCUGAAGUACGUAGGAAAAAAAAAUUGUGAUACAUGCACUGACGAAUCAAAUCCCAAUGUCAAAUUAUUAGACUCACCUGGUUCUUAAAUUAUUGUGAAUGCCGCUGGCCAUGGAUAAAUGGAAUUAGUGCGUGGCUUAAUGAAAAUUUAUUUUGAAAGGGAUAUUAAUUUGAGAGAAUUUUGGCUGAUACUUGGAGUUGAACGUAAGCAUAUAUGACCUCAUUUCGGGUGUGAUAUUGUGCUUAUAACGAACCUUUCGUUCUUUCCAAUUCCAGUGGGUAUUAAAUAAUUAAAGAAUUCAUGGUUCGAAGGCGAAAGGUAGAAGACCAAAAAGGGAUUACAAAGCCAUCGGCUUGACCAUCCAGAUGCAAUGGAUACAAACUUUGGACUCUAUCGAAAGUUCUUUGGGCACGUGCCCAAGUGUCCUACCCAUAUGAUAAGUUACACGUGGCUAAUUGCGGACCGGUUGCUCGUGCUAAACAGGGUACUUUUUCUACGCAUAUAAGAUGUUUCACUAGUGGGGCUUCACCAUGCAAACUCAUGGAUGAAGACCCUGAGGCCAAGAUGAAGGAACAGAAAGAAGGCGGAGGAGAGGUUCGGUAUCGAGGCGUUCGGAGGCGGCCAUGGGGGAAGUUUGCUGCGGAGAUACGUGACUCGACUAGGCAUGGAGCGCGCGUCUGGCUCGGGACUUUCAAUUCUGCGGAGGAGGCUGCAAGAGCAUAUGACCGAGCUGCUUAUGCCAUGAGGGGUUCCUUGGCGAUUCUCAACUUCCCUAAUGAGUAUCAUACACCCGGCACGGCUAGCUCUUCAGCUUCAUCCUCAAUGCCCGAAGGUGAUCAGCAGGGAAAACAAGUCAUUGAAUUGGAGUACUUGGAUGAUAAGCUGCUAGAGGAUCUUCUCGACUCUGAAGACAAAAAGAACAAGAAAACCUGAAGUUUCUGCUGCCUCGAAUCCCCUGAAAUCUAGUGCUUCAUCGAAAAAAAAUCCCCUCGCUCCUGAUUAACAACAUUUUUAUUUUAGUCAAUGAAUGUGUUCUCGGAUCAUUAUAAGUAUUUCUGCCGAAGUCCAUUGAUUUUUGGAGACUGAAAAAUGUCAGAAAAAUUGGUGCGAACAGGUUUACUCCUUUCUAAAUUAUGCAAUUGAAGUAUUUGGAUUAGUGCGCAGUGUAAACAUCAAGGAAAGCAUGAUCCACUAUUUUAAGGAGCCUAAGUGCUUUCCCCUUUACUCUUUUAGGAUGUCUUUUCAGUGAAGAAAGUUGGGAGACCACCACUUACCCUUUUGAUUGGUAUAUAACUGCCAACUAAUAACUGGACUAACAUUUGGCCCGUCUGGCCCUACUUCUUUGACUUUGUUGUUAAUUUAUAACUUUAUGUGAAGUGGGGGCUGUUUGGGAAUGUGUGAAGCAAGGAUUUGAGCCGACUUCGCCUAAUCUGAUUCUCCAUAAGUGACUUCAUUUUAUCAUAUUGGUGUUUUUUUUCUUCUUCUUUUUAAAUGGCUGGGGAGGAGGGGAUUUGGGAGGGAUGCAAUGCCAUGGUUGCAUGCUGGAUUAUCCUUCCAAAUGAAACAUCCAUUUGGUUUCUAGUAACUAAUUGCAAACAAUUAAAGAGAAUAAAAUUUUAAGAUGAUUAAACAAUAAGUACCUAUGUCCAUGAAAAGGAGAGAAGUUCACUCAUGGGUGUUCAUGAAAGACAUCACAAAGAACCAUCAAUAUGAGAAGAAUCCUGAUACAAUUAACUUUCAUGCAUAAGAAAAGACGCUCAAAAAAGAAUAAUGCUUACAAGGAAAGAAUCUCACUACGAUCAACUGAAAAAAUAUUCCAAUUUAAUUGGAAAUCCUUACAUGGGAAGAAUAUCAAUAAAAUCAACUAAAAAAAUAUUUUAAUUUUAUAUCAAAAUAUUUGUGAUUUAACCCGUAUCAUUUCAUCAUGACUUCUUAUAAAUUUUGUUCCUUUUUAUCAACACCACCCCUUGAGUUGGAGCAUAAAUAUUUAUUAAGCUAACUUGAACAAGAUCUUGAGAAAUUUUGUCGCAGGAUUUGUUUGCACUUUUUUUUUUCAAAUAAAGUCAUAAUUAACUUUAAUAUGUUUAAUCAUUUCAUGAAAUACUAGAUUUUAAGCAAUGUUGAUAGCAUACUUAUGCCUGAAAGCUUUAUCCCAAAUCACAUGAGUACAUGAAGUGAUUGCAUCAUUAAUGGUAGUAUUAUUACUUUAUAUUCAACUUCUCCACUUGAUAGGAUGCAUGAAAGCAUUGUGCUUUCUUCUGUUUCAAGUAAUAAAGAUUAUCACCAAGAAAGGUGCAAUUAAUACCUAGUAACAGAGUACCUAGUGGUAGCAUGCACCUAUCCACUGAACUUGUACUCGACUCUAUGAGUGUACGUUACAUAGUCCUUUUUUCGAAGUCUAAAUGUCCCUUGAUAAAACCUUCUAAUAUUUGAGGUUUUGGUAACAUUCAUGUAUCAAUGAACAAAUUAAUUUACUAGCUAAACUUUAAAAUUAGGCAAUGUUUUUCAAUGGGUGAUCAAGAUCUUGGAAUUUUCAAUGUUGUUUGAAUAGCUUCCACACACAAGCAUAUUUUCUCCUAUUUAGGAAUAAUCCCUUUUUUGAAGGUGUGAUCUUUAUGCUCAAAAAAUAAAGAUACUCAAAAAUUUAAUAUUGACCUUCUCGUGAAGGAAAAGCUUUAUAACUAAUUUUUUUUGUGCAUUAUAUAUAUCCUCAAUAUAGACUUUAAAAAAAAAAGAAGUAACUCCCUCUACAAAGAGUGAAGAGUCAAUUAAACUUUUUUUUUUUUAAAAAAAAGGAACCAAUUACUCGUAAAAGUAAUGAUUAUUUUUACAUACCAAACUUGAGGAGAUUACUUAAGAUCACAAAAGUUUUUAUUAAAUUGCAAGCUAGAUGCAUUUGAAACGAUCGUUGAUGUCUUAGCAACACCUUAUGUAACUCAUCAAUCUUUAUGUAAAAAUGCAUUUUUAACACCCAUAUAAAAUAAUGAUCAAUCCUAAUUUAAUAGAAACAAAUGGUAAUACAUGAAUAUCAUUCAUAUUAAUGAGAAAAGUAAAUAUUGAUUUAUAAUCAACUUCUUAAGUUUGUGUCAAUGCCUUAAUCAUUAGUUUAACUUUGUCAUUCAAUGAUACCAUCAUUACGACAUUUAAUUAACUUAGAUUUGCGUAAAUCCCUUAAUCACUAGUCUAGCUUUAUGUCAUUCAAUGGUACCAUCAUUAUGGUAUUUAAUUGAUCUUAUACCCCCAAUUUGUAUACCCCAUGUUUUUCUUAAUUUACCAUACAUCACUUAACAAUGUUCCAUGCAUGGAUUUUGUUAAGUGCCUUAAGUUCCUUUUGCAUAGCCUUUCUCCAAAUUGGAUGAGGAUUGGCUUCAUUAAUGUCAUUAGACUCAUGAUAUAUGGAACUCAAACAAUUGUUAAGUGAUUUUGUAUAUAUAUAAAAAAAAAAUUGUAAUUAAUGUGGUAGGCAUAAAAAUCUCACAAAUGAGGAUUGAUUAAUUGUUAUAAUUGAGCAACAUGCUUGAGGCUUAGUCACAAUACUAGAACUUGAAGUCAGACAUUCUCUUCAAAUAAGGACGUAUAUACAUUAUAUUGGAUCUCCAUUAAACAAGUAAAGAACUAUUUAGUAGACAAUGAAACCUCAUUGAUCAAUGGUGGUAGAGAGACACAUGAUGACCAGACUAUUCCCCUGGAAAUGAGAAUAAAAAAUAUCAUUAGCCGCAAAAAUCUCAAAAAAAUUUAGAUAAUGGGAUAUAAAGAGUUUAUGAAUUUUACAAUCAUAACUCUUAUACUGGUUUAAGUGGUAGAGUAAUCAAGAACACAAAACGAGUUUGAUGAGUGGUUGAGAUAUGAACAAAGCAAAGAUUUCCAAAGACACCAAAAUCAGAAAUCUCAAUUUUUGGGCUAAGGAUUUCAAGAAGAAAUUUAAAAUUAACUACAUGACUAGAAAAUUUGUUCAUCAAGGAAAUAGAAGUAACGAUAUCAUAACAUCAUAAUUAAUCAAUAUUUUUAAUAACAUGCAUUUGGAACAUGAUAUACCGGCUUUCUAAUAAUCAAUGAUUUUUGGUUCAACCACACCAUUUUGUUUUGGGAUGCCAAUACAACAAGUUUAACGAANNNNNNNNNNNNNNNNNNNNNNNNNNNNNNNNNNNNNNNNNNNNNNNNNNNNNNNNNNNNNNNNNNNNNNNNNNNNNNNNNNNNNNNNNNNNNNNNNNNNAUGUAAGUGCCAAAUUAGGUAGUGUCGACAAUGAAAUGGAAAUUUUGGAAUAUAGAAACAACCUCAUUUUUAUGUUCUAAUAAGUAAACCUAUGUAGCAUAAGAAUAGUCAUUAAAAAAAAAGGUAACAAAAUGUUGAUUUCCAUCCUAUGGAUCAAUUAGGACACAACCCCAAGGUAAACUAAUUUGAAAGUUGCAACAAAAAUGGAAAGAGAUGAAAAAAUAAUAGAGGAAUUUAAGGUUGUUUCAAAAUUUCAAGACAUGCUAAGAAACACAUGAGAUUAUAGAUGAUUAGGUAACAACCUUGGUUAAGUAUAUUCAACAUAUAUAUCCCACGAGGAUAAAUAUCUUCACUAAACUUUUCCUAUUAUUCAAUCCCCUAAUACCAUACAAGUGAAAAAUUAAUGUCACGGUCAAAAAUUUUAAUAAGCUUCCAAAGAGAUAAUAAUUUUGGGGAAAAAAACAACCUAAGAAACCUAUGAAUUGAGAUAAUUUAGGAAAAAACUAAAUGUUCGUUAGCUCUAGAAGGGAAUUGAAGCUCAUCAUCAAUAAAGAUUGUUGCUAUCUCGAAUAAUAUCAAGUAAACCAUUAAGAUCGCUAUUAAUGGUAUGAUUAGCAGCACCAAUUAUCGACAAAAAAAUUAUUAAAAAUAUAAGAAAUGAGAGCUUUAAGAUUAUCUAAUUGAUUUGUAAACCUAGGUAAGUGAAUCAGUAUUACGUUUUGUUAAGGAAGCUUAGAUCCAAUUGGUAUCAUUCACCAAGUUAUUGGAUUAAAUUACACUAUCAAACUUUGGCUUUAAAUGAGAAUGAAGAAUCUAACCACAAUCCUUAUUGGGAUUAGAUAUGUUAUUGCAAUAAUGUUUACAAUCGGAUGAGUGCUAAUUUCUAUUGAAAUCAUGAAGCAAUCUCUGAUCAUUGGUCUUCUUUGUAGAAACAUGAGCAUUGAAUUUAAAAUUAAUAAUUGUUACUUGGGAUUCAACCUUCAUAAUCAUUGCCUGGGUUUCCUAAUCACUUUCAAGAAUUACUUAUAUAGUGAAGGCACUCGAAACUAAUCAAAUUUGUCCUCUUAUAAAGUUGUCAUAUUCAAGCUUCAGAAUAGCCAAUAAUUGAAAAACUUAUCAUACUCCGCAAUUUGUUGAAGAAUAUUUGGGUCUAUUGAAGGGGACAAUAUAGGGAAUAUUUGUCCCAUAUGCUCAAAAUGUUCAAUUAACAAAGUGUUCUGUAUGUUUAGGGAUUUGUUAGCUUUAAUUACACAAAACAUUAGCAGUUUUAGAGAAAAUUAAUUUUUUUUUGCAAUCUUAGGUUCCAUGAAAUUAAAAAGCCAAUAACAAGUCAAUAUGGCUUGAGACCCAGUCAUCAUAUUCAAAGUCAUCCAACUUAGAAGCAUUCAUUUUGCCACUAACAUGUGCUAAUUUCCAUUUUCUAUCUUUCAAGAGAAAAAGACUGCUCUUAACCAUGGCAAAUAAUUGAACCCAUUAAGAAGAUUGAGGAAAGUAUCAUAUGAGGGUUGUCAUUUUCCUCCAUGACAAAGAAAAAGCAACAGAGAAAAACUCAUAAUAUUAGAAAGAGAAUGAAAGAAAUUGAGUCAUAGAUACACACAGAAGAAUCCAAAAAUAAAGCAAUAAUACAACCACAAAUAUGAGAAGAAGCUCAAUUACAAAGAAAGGAACUCAAUACAAUCAACUAAAAAGCGUUCCGAAGUUCAUACGAAAAUAUUCAUAAUGUGAAGAUCAUUUCAUGAUUCCUACAAUUUCUUCCUUCUACCAGUCCACUCCAUACAAGGUUUGAUCAACAACUUCUUCAUUGAUUUUCUGGUCUCUCUCCGGUGUAUCAUAGAGCAUUUUUGACAUGUUUCUGCAAGAUACACUUGUUAACUUUAAGCGACAUAAGUGCAAAAAAAUAAGAUCAUGUUGUAUUGCCUGUGCUUCCACUCUGCCUUGUUUAGUACUAUUAUGGAGCAGUACUUCCAUAUAGAACCAGUGAUCUCCAGUUCAUUAUGUUGCCUUCUUUAAACUAACUUUAAUUAUCUAUACAUAUAAAACAAAGUGGUCCCAUCAAGGGGCUAAAUCAAGAAUCAAGUGGGGCGAACAGGAAACAGUGGCAUCAAUUUUUAAGUCCAUAAGCUUUAAUAAAAGGAAUAAAACCAAGGAUAUGAAUAUGUUAUUUUUUCAUUUGUUCAUGCACUGGAAGAUCUUUCCUCUUCAAGCAUUGAACCAGCAUCCUUCUGUGCAAGUUGCUGUCGGAACCUUCUAUAAUUGUCAGAAGUCUGUUUCUGAAAUAUACAGAUAAAACUUUUAGCAAGUCUUGACAUUGCUCAUCACUAGGACAUUGUACUAGGAUACCAAUUCAUCUAAUUAGGGUUAAGUUGGCAUCUCGUACACUAUUUUUUAUUUUUCCUUCAUCUUUUGUUCCCAUUUGCAGUGGAAGUGGCACUUAGAAUAUCUGAUCAUGAAGAAUUAGCUUUCGGUGAGAUGAUACUAGGUCAAUUGCCAUUAUCUUUUUGAGUUACUGUGCGAGCAAUCUUGAAAAUAUUUUGGGAUAAAUAGAAUUUGUGCUUAUCAUAAACAUGCUAAACAUCCAAAUCAAGUGCUUUUACUAUUGAUAUCAAAUCAGUAAUUGAUUUUAACCUUUAUGCUUAUCUUUCAGAUUCUCAAUUAUGUAUCUUGAAUAAUGAUAUUAAGCAGAAAUCAUGAAUUGAAUUGCUUUAAUUAACUGUGCCUUAUCAAGCUUGUCAGCAGUGCUAUUGCUACCGCGAAUCAAAUUCGCUGUGCUUCCCGCCUUCUCCAAAUAAGCCACAAGCCCAAUUAUAUCCGCCCUCCUCCCAUCUCCAAGGGAUCAAAAAAUAAAAUGACUUCAAUCAAUUUUCAAGUUUUCCAUCUUGAUCAGUAGACCACCCGGCAUGAAUGUUACCCUCAGUUUAGGAAUAGGAAUUCCUUUUACUAAUCAUUUGGCACUAAAAACUAUGACCCCUAGCAAUUCAUUCCCUCCAUUAGAUAUCUGGGGGCAUCUUGGCUCAGCCAAAAAUGAUAAGUCAUUGCAUUUCACAUUGCAUUCAUUUGUAUUAAUGAGCUAAUUUUUUUUCACAGAAUGUGAUGUGAAUCGAAUUACUUCCAACCAUGUGUCUCUAUAAGGGUUUAACAAAUGUAAUUUGCAUUGUCUGUACACUUUUUUUUCGGUUUCUUUUCUUUUUUAUGCAUGAUUCAUUAGUCCACGGAUCUUCUAUGCAAAGUGUGCAGGCCAAACACCUCCUUCAAUGCAUUAUUCUAGAAGUUAAGACUCAGUUUACUCCUUAAUUGAUCUGUUCCAUUUACUUCAAAUCAUUUGAUUACAUUAAAUGAAUCUUGAAAUUCAAAAAUGCAUCAAAGUUAAAAGACCUUCCAAUGCAUUAAGAAAUCAUCUGAUACAAAUAUAUGUGAACCUGCAACAACAAUAAUGUCAAAAUGGAAAACUUAGGUAGAAAAUAUUAGAACGGAAACUUACGACGAACUCAAUUUUUGGCGCCUUUCUUCUUCUCAUCUUCUGAUCCAAGAAGCUCUUCCAACACCGUGUCAUCCAAACACUCGAACUCAAUGACUUGCUUUUCUUGCCCAGAAGAGGAACCUCCCAUCUCUAAACUCCUACAAGGCCCAGAAGAUGACGAGGAAGACGAUGAGGAUGGUGAUGGUGGGGGGCGAUGGGAGCCCAUGAUUUCAGAAUAGUACUCAUUAGGAAAGUUAAGAAUGGCAAGAUGACCCCUUAAGUUAAAGGCCGCUCGAUCAUAGGCGCGAGCUGCAUCCUCCGCCCUGUCAAAUGUGCCUAGCCAUAGACGAGCACCUUGCCUAGACGGAUCCCUAAUCUCGGCUGCAAACUUCCCCCAUGGCCUCCUCCUCACCCCUCGGUAUCGAACUUCUUCCUUUUCCUUCCCUUCCUGCUCCUGCUUCUCAUUCCCUUUCGAAUGAUCUUCCAUGCUAAACGUGUCGAUUUGCUAGGCGCAAUUUUUUUGGUUUCAAAUGUGCUGGUUUACGAGAGGCAUGGAUGCUUAUGUAUAUAUAUGGUUGCCACAGUCAGGUCUGACGUCACCGCUCAAUGUAUGUUCCACAGCGUGGGUUGACGAGCUUUCUGAGGGGGUUUCCUCGAAUUCAAAGCAAGUAUAAAAAUUCGAUUCUCCGACCUUUCCAAUGAGGAUCGAACAGGCCUUUUAUUAGAACCGUAUGAUAACUCCACACUGUUUUCAAAUAGUCAAUGUGAUCUAGAUUCUUCGUUAAUUUUUUCCACCUGACUGAUUGUUUACAAUUUUAUUUUUCACCGUCCCAAAUUUAAACCAUUUACGCGAUUCCCUGGAUUGCAUUUUUCUUUAAUGUUGACUUUACGAGGCAAUAGGACCCCCCAGCAACCCCACUAGGGCGACUUCAUGGGAACCAGAUUACUUUUGGAUCCAGAUAUGGUCCAGAAGAAAUAAGACAAAUCAAUUAAUGUCCACUAAAGUUUUGAUGGAACCCUUAGUCCGUGUUUCCUGUGGAUGUAUGUAUUGUAUGCACCUCAAUUUUCACCAAUCCCUGCUACGAGUCCCUUUAAUUUUGACGUUAUAAAUGUUUUUCCUGACAUUAGCAGAGUGUUUUUCUGCCGUCUUUGAGGACCUUCCACGGCCCAUAAACUAAUAAGGAUCGUCCAGUGAAUUUAGUCUUCCCCAGUUAAUUAUCCUGCGAGGGAAACUUGGGCAGUAAGUUGCCUACAUGAGUGGCUCCCGCCUACAUGAGUCAAGGGACCAUACGUCAGGACGACAACCAGUGUGGUCACACCAAAGUGGGUUGCCUGGACUCCAGGGUGGUCGCUUCAAAGUUGUCAAAUGAAGGCUAGCUUGGCAAGUUUUGGAAAACAAUUAUUGAAAAACAUUUUUCAUGAAUAACAGUUUCUAUGAACAGAUUUUAAGAAAGUUUAUUUUGUGAUUUUUAGGAAUAUUUUUAAUUUAAAUUUUUAUAUUUUUAAUUUUUUAUUAAUUUAUUGAUUAUUUAAUAUUAGCUUAAUUAAUGGAUUUUUCUUGGUCCCAAAUUAUUAAUUUAUCAAGAUUUAAUCGCAUCCAUAAUUAGUCUAAUUUCUUUUGGAGUGAGUGUGACAAAGUGCAAAUUUCUAGAGUUUUAUUAAUGUUAUUCAAUGUCAUAAUUUAACUAAUUAUAUUAAUUAUUUAUUAAUCAAAAUAAAUCAUUCACUUGAAAUAUGAUAAUUUAAAUUAAAAGUUUCAAUUAUUUAUUAAUUAGCAAAGUAUGAACUUUUCUUCUUGUUUUAUUAUUGUUAUUCCAUGUAUAUAAUUUAAUUAACUGUUUCCAAUAUUAAUCAAUAAAAAUAGAAUAUAAGCAUGAGAAGAAUUAGUAAAAUUCAUUGAUUUGGAAUUAGAUAGCUAGAGGAAGAACUUCAUCAUCUUCCCAUUACUUAAAUUUGUAUAAAUUCUAAAUAUUUAAACCCCCCCCCCCCCCCCCCCCCCCAAAAAAAAAAAAAAUGGUAAAGAAAGACUCCCCAAGCUUUCUUGGUUGGUGUUACCCUAAAAUUUGUACAAUAAGAUGAACCAUUUGGCUUAAAGCUUGGUGCGAAACCCCUUAUCAAUUGAAAAUAUCAAUGAAGUUGUUGAAUGGUUUUAGAGGACUAUUCUUAUGCAGAGUGGCAUAAGAAGCGAGGAGAUGAAGAGCGGAGAGACGUUAACAUCGGAUGCUGCUACGAAGGUGGGAAUACGGUUAAUUAAUUAGAUUUUGUGAUGGCUUUGAGUUUGAAGGAGUUAGUUUAAUGGGUAUUAUUAGUGAACUGAUAAUUGGAUUUGAUGUAAAGAAGGUUGGUCCAUUGGAUUAGCAAUUGGUUUGGCCUUUUGGGGGCCCCAUUUCCAAAUGCAUUGCCUUUUACAAGCAUUCAACAUCGCUGGACGUAACCAGGCUUGGUUCACCUAAAAGUAUCGCAUGGAUUGAAUUGACUAAGUUUUCAUUGUAGACUAGCCUUGAUUUUCCCUUGACCUGCCCACCAAAUCCUGAUGCCCACGCGAGGGAAUACCUCAAUUUUCUAAUAAUUUAUGCAGUUUCUCUUCAAAGCUCGUGUGAUCACUUGGGUCGGUAAAAUAAUGCAUUCCUCUACUUUUUCUCCCUUCCUAGAUGCAUGUUAUACCAUUAAUUCAAAUGUGAACAUGGGCUUGGCUUUGAAACUUGGUUCAAGGCCCAACAUGUUGACCCACAAUUGAGGUGUAAUUGAAUUUGUACACUUUUCGACUUUGAUACCAUUUGUCAUUACCAUUGACAUUGGGUCAUUGUUGAUUUUGAGUCCACAACUUUUAAGGUUGUUAUUACAAUUUUAAAUUGCGCCCACCCAAUUUAUAUGCAUUAUCCCUUAUAAAUACCGAUAACCUCUCUUUCUUCGAUAAUAUAAAAUGUCACAUAUAUUAUAUAUCUCAAUGUUUUCUUUUACUUUUUUUUUUUUUAUCGAUCGACAUUCUCUCUCAGAUGAUAUGAGAUGUCACAUAUAUUAUAUGUUUCAAUGUUUCUUUUACUUUUUCUCUUUUUCCUCAUGAUUGACAUUGUCUUUCUCAAAUGAUAUGAGUUGUCACAUAUAUUUUAUGUCUCAAUGUUUUCUUUAACUUUUUUUCUCUCUUCUUUAAUGAUCGACGUUCCUUUUCUCAGAUGAUAUGAAAUGUCAUAUAUAUUAUAUGGCUUAAUGUUUUCUUUUACUUAUUCUUUCUUUAUUAAUAAUCGACAUUUUAAGCAAUAUGUGAAUAUAAAGCAUUAAAAUUAUCUCCAUCGUUUUUGGAUGUGGUAUAAAUACACAAUUCUUAUUUUUGUUUUAAAUAUUUCUAUUGCUAUCUAUUGAAAUUUUAUGCAUGAAGCUACCAAGUUAAUUAUACAUAUAUCUUAAGAUUUUUUUUUUUUUUUUUUAUAGGAUAUAUUGUCCAUGAAUAUUUUCUGCAAUGGUAUCUUGUUUGAUUACUAUAAGAAAUAAUAUAUAUAUAUAUAUAUAUAUAUAUAUAUAUAUAUAUAUAUAUAUAUAUAUAUAUUAUAUUUCAAUGUUUCAUAUUUGCUUAAAAUAAAAAUUAUAUUUUAUCACAAUAUUUGGUAUUAAAAAAAAUGAAAUCUCUCUCAUUUAUUAUUACAAAAAAAUUAUAAUUUAUAAUUUUCUAAAUAAGUUUUAUUUAUUUGCUAACUAUAUUCAUGAUUAAAAGAUUUAAAAUUUAUAAAUAAAAAAUAUUAUGUCAUGUCAUUAAAUAAAUAAAAAUAUAUGUAUAUAUUAAAAUUAUGUUUUAUUGUAGCUUUUAAUAUUUUUUUUUUUAUUCUUUUCUUUUUUGAACUACAAUUUUAAUUUUUUUUAAUCAAAAUUUUUUAAUUUACAAAACGAGUAACAUAAAACUUGCCUUUGAACUUUAUUGGAAUGUUAUAUACUACCAUUUGGCUUUCAAGACAUUAGAAAAGGCAUAAGUGUCCCUUUUAUUUUUCCGAAAGGCAUAUUAGACUAUAGUAGGAAGUGUUGUAUAGAGGCAACUAAAAGUUGCCUUUAACUUUAUGAAGUCAUAUACUCCUCUUUGGCUUUGAUGACAUCAACUAGCAAAUUGGAUUUUGUUUCCUUUGCAACAUUUUUCCAUCCAUUAGCCAGUUUUUUUAUACUGUUUGGUGCUUGCCAACAUGGCACACACUAUGGUUCUUAAAAAGUAUUUUUUUUUUUAAGAUACUACGAAAUAAAAUACACGAUUGAAAGAUGAGUCACAAUAAUUUUCAAAACUAAAUUUUUUAAUAUUGUUAAGAAAAUUUGACCACCAAAUGAUUGAUUUUAAAUUACAAAUACUUUUGUUAGCUAAGAAAUUUGUUGUUCUAUUUGUUUCCCUAUAAAUAUGACAACAAUCAUAAAUAUUUUCAUUUUAAGAUAAUUUUCAAAUAUCUUCCAUUAAUAAUAUAAUAGAAUUAGGAAUUUUUUUUUUAGUUAUAACAAUCUAUAAUUAUUUAAGAGUCUUCCUCAAUCUCUAGGUUUAAGAACUUAUUGUUCUUAACAACUAACAUGUCAUCUCUUAAAAUAAUACAUUCUGCAAUAAUUAUUGAAAUAUGAUAUAAUAUAUAUAUCUACUUACAACCAUUUUUGUAGUACCAUUAGAAUUUUUAAUUACCCAUUCUAAAGUAUUUUUAUUCUCUAUUCUUAAACCAUCAAAAUUUAAUUUAAAUCUUUCAUUAAUUGGAUAAAUCCAAUGAAUCUAACAAGUUAAAGGAUUAUGAAUCCGACAAAACAGUUGAUAAUAAAUUAAUAAUGCCAUUAAUAUGAUUUUAAUGUGAAACACAAUUAUCACAUUUAAUACAGUUAGUCCUUGUAUGAUUAAUGUUUUGGAAGCUAAAAUCAAUCUUUUGACUAUAAUAAGAGUUUCUACUAUUUCUAUUUUUGGAUGAUUUUAUAUUUUUCUUAUUGUUUUAGUUUAAUACAAAAAAUAAAAAUAAAAUUACAUUAGUAGAAUUUUUUUAACUUACUCAAAAACCUAUUUUAGUUGAAUGAUUUUUUUAAAAAAAAUAUAAAUAUUUUGUUAAAAGGGAUAAAAUAACCUUACCUUGUGAAAAAGACCUCUUCACCCAAGAUUACUUGUUCAUAAUCCUUUUAAGACGAAAAUGCCCCCUUCCUAAAAAAUAUUUCAUCUUAAACUUAUUUUUCUUUUUAUUGCCCUUUGUUCCAUCCUUCCGGCUUGGGAGAGAAAUUCAUUCUUCUUUUGCGAAGAAAAAUUCCUAUUGCGAUUUUUCAUUUCAAGUGGAAAAAAAAAUUCUUAUUUCAUUUUAAAGAAAUUGUACAUUUUCAAUCUUUCUCUUUGUUCCUAGUUGAGGGUUUUUUUUGUAAUUUUAUCUUAACACUACAAAUUUAAAGGUGAGAUUAAAUCUUAAUGGUUAUUAGUUAAAUCACAUAUCUAACUUUGUUUUUGUCAGGACCUAUAAUAUGAUUGGAACCACCAUCCAAACUUCAUUAGGUGGGAUACUCCCCACCCUCCCCCUCCCCCCGCGAAAUCCUUGGAUUUUAGUUUUGACUUGGAUUUCAAUUGCCCGUAUCAAUUUUUCUUUAUUUAUUAAUUUAUUAAUUUUCAACUUUAACAAAAGCCUUGAAUCAUAUUUAAAUUCAAAUAACUUAAUCCUAAUUAAGUUCUUUUUAAAUAAAAAUUAAUCAUUGAAAAGUUCAUGUGACUAUUAUAAUUGAGAAUUUAUCCCAAGUUGGGUUUUUUGCAAAUAAAAUUUUAUUAUAGGACAUCAUGAUGCAACAUAACAUAAGGUUGUUACUUAAGUUUGUUUUGACCUUGUAAUAUGUUAAAAUGAAAAUGAAGCCAUUGUAACAGGAGAGAAUGAUGAAGCUGUGGAGAGAGCUUAACAAAGCUUGGGUUGGAGAGACUUCACAGGAAGAGAGAGAGAGAAAUAAAGGGUAAAAUUAUCAAAAGAGAAAAGAAAAAAAAAAAAAAAAAAGAAGGUUAUGUCUUCAAAUAAUCAAUAAGAGAUGUCAUUUUUCUAAUUUUCAAAGUUCUUUUGGUCCUUCUCUACAAAUAUCCCUAUAAAAAUAUUAUAAUAUCAAGUUAAUUUGUCAAUACCAAAAUUUAUAUUUUAUAUUAGGGCGACUAAAUAACAUAUAGAAAGAAUUUUAAAUGAGUAAAUCAAAUCAAUUUUGAAACCAAAACUUAAUAAUUACCAAACUUGUAAUCUUAGUCAUUAAAAGUGUACGAUGAAAUCUAAAUUAUUAAGCAAUGAAACAAAAAAUUAAGAUUAAAAUACAAAACGUUAAAAUCAAGAUACAAACUAUUAAAAUGUAAGUGGGAUAUGAGAUGAUAUUAUAAAAAAUAGUGUGAUCCAACAAAAAGUCUAGUACAUCAUUAUCUUCACUUCCAACCAUGUUUAAAAGGUCACAAGUUCUAGCGGUUUCCAAGGACAAUGUUAAAAAUAAUAAAAAUAAAUCCAAUUAAAUAUUAAUUAAUUUAUUUGAAUUUGAGUCCGACAAAAUAGUUGGUAAUAAGUUAAUAAUGCCAUUAAUAUGAUUUUAAUGUGAAACACAAUUAUCACAUUUAAUACCCGUUAGUCCUUGUAUGAUUAACUUUUUAGAAAUUAAUAUCAAUCUUUUGAUUAUAAUAAGAGUUUCUACUAUUUAUAUUUUUGGAUGAUUUUAUAUUUUUCUUAUUGUUUUAGUUUAAUACAAAAAAAUAAAAAUAAAAUUACAUUAGUAGAAUUUUUUUUAACUUAUUCAAAAAACCUAUUGUAAGGUGAAUGGUUUUUUUAUUUUUUUUUUAAAUAUAAAUAUUUUCUUAAAAGGGAUAAAAUAACCUUACCUUGUGAAAAAAGGCCUCUUCACCCAAAUUUACUUGUGCAUAAUCCUUUUCAGACGAAAAUGCCCCCUUCCUAAAAAAUAUUUCAUCUUAAACUUAUUUUUCAUUUUUAUAACCCUUUGUUCCAUCCUUAUGAUUUGGGAGAGGAAGUCAUUCUUCUCUUGUGAAGAAAAAAUUCCUACUGCCAUUUUUCAUUUCAAGUGAAGAAAAAUAUUUAUAUUUCAUUUUAAACAAAUUGUACAUUUUCAAUCUCUCUUUGUUCCUAGUUGAGGUUUUUUUUUUUUUUUUUUUUUUUUGUAAUUUUAUCUUAAUUGUACAAAUUCGAAGAUGAGAUUAAAUCUAUAAUGGUUAUUGGUUAAAUCACUUAUCUAACUUUGUUCUUGACAGAUCGUAUAAUAUGAUUGGAACCACCAUCCUAACUUUAUUAGGUGGGAUCCCUUUUUUUUUUUCCCCAAACCCUUGGAUUUUAGUUUUGACUUAUAUUUCAAUUGUCUGUAUCACUUUUUCUUUAUUUAUUAAUUUUCAACAAGUUCUUUAACAAAAGCCUUGAAUCAUAUUUAAAUUCAAAUAACUUAAUCCCCAUUAAGUUCUUUUUAAAUGAAACUUAAUCAUGUGAAAGUUCAUGUGACUAUUAUAAUUGAGAAUUUAUUCUUAGUUGGGUUUUUUGUAAAUAAAAUUUAGUUAUAGGACUGUGAUGAUCCGUUCUCAACCGUAUAAAUAUUGUUCGUUUUGAAUUCAAAAUAACUUUUACGGCUUUAAAACAUGUUUACAAGAUUAAGAGGAGUCCAUAUUUAUAUAGCUUCACGAACUUUCCCCCCUAUUCGAUGUGGGAUGUCACAAGGACAUCAUGAUGCAACGUAUAACAUAAGAUUGUUUCUUAAGUUUGUCUAACCUUGUAAUGUGUUAAAAUGAAGAUGAAGCCAUUAUAACAGAAGAGAAUGAUGAAGUUGUAGAGAGAGCUUAACAAAGCUUGGGUUGGAGAGACUUCAUAGGAAGAGAGAGAGAGAGAGAGAGAGAAAUAAAGGGUAAAAUUAUCAAAAAAGAAAAAAGAAAAAAAAGAGGGUGAUGUCUCCAAAUAAUCAAUAAGAGAUGUCAUUUUUCUAAUUUCAAAGUUCUUCUGGCCCUUCUCUACAAAUAUCCCUAUAAAAACAUUAUAAUAUCAAGUUAAUUUGUUGAUACCAAAAUUUAUAUAUUAUAUUAGGAUGACUAAAUAACAUAUAGAAAGAAUUUUAAAUGAGUAAAUCAAAUCAAUUUUGAAAUCAAAACUUAAUACCUACCAAACUUGUAAUCUUAGUCAUUUAAAGUGUUCCAUGAAAUCUAAAUUAUUAAGCAGUGAAACAAAAAAUAUAAGAUUAAAAUACAAAACGUUGAAAUCAAGAUUCAAACUAUUAAAACGUAAGUGGAGACGUAAGAUGAUGUCAUAAAAAAUAGUGGGAUCCAACAAAAAGUCUAUUAAUCAUUAUCUUCACUUCCAAUCAUGUUUAAAAGGUCACAAGUUCUAGCGGCUUUCAAGGACGAUGUUAAAAAUAAUAAAAAUAAAUCCAAUUAAAUAUUAAUUAAUUUAUUUGAACAAUAGAUAGGACCAAAAUAAUAUUCUAAAAGGAAUCAUAGGGAAGUCCUUGGACAACCUACGACAUUGAACAAAGGUACAGUGAGACAAUGCACUUAGCCCUUCCUUGUCAUUGCGAUGAAUAUAAAAAGACACCCUGAUUGAGGGUGCCCCACUAAGCCAAGAGUGAUUCUUUUGUAUUGUAUAACGUGAAUAUUUUUGAACUUUGAAUGACCCUUCCUAUAGUCAUCAUUGUCAAAACUAGAAAAUCAGAAAGAUGCGAUGUACGAAGGCACCAUUGAAUAAGAGGCUUAAUUCUCUUUGGCAAUUAGGAUAAAGUUUCAAAAUAGAAAAAUUAAACAAAUGUACAGUGUACGGACACUUGGGCAUUGCCUAUUUGUUUUGUUCUUCUAGAGUUGUAUAUGGUAAAGGUCAUAUUGGGUUGGUUCUAUUUGGUUAUUGAAGUCGGCUAGAAUAUUAGAUUUGGUUUCAAUCUAAUCCCAUAUGAUAUUAGAAUACCAGCCCAUACAGAAUUUUUGACCAAAUAUAAUAUUUCUUUUAAAUAUAAAUAUAGUAAUUAAUUUUAGUCUAAGAUUAAUUAUGUAGUUUCCUAAAGAGACCACUUCCUAAACGGUAGCUAUGUGGAAGUUGGGCCAGGUCCUGCCGAGAAGGUUUCCACGAGCUGAGCCCAAAACUGAGUAGCUGUGAUGGGAUCAUUCUAGCAUUCAGCCUGAAACUUGUAACAUAACGGAUCGAGAGGCCUGAACUCCAAGACCAUGGUUCGUCAGCCCAUUAACUUCAACAGCACGCAUUUUAGAGGACUGGGCUUGCAAGGGGUGAGGUUUCCGGGCCGCGACCCCAAAUAUGAACAGCCUCAGAAGUGAUAUUGCUUACUGGCACGUGAAGAGCGCAAGCGUAACUAGAAGAUUUGUAAUGCCGCUUUAAUUGUUUGAUUAUAGAAUCCCACGCAUUACGCAUGGAAAGUGUAAAAGAUAAAAGAUGUAGAAUUUUUUCUUAGAGAAAAGUUCGUUUGGAUAUAGUUAUUGUUUUUUUUUUAAAUAAUAAUUGUUUUUUUUAUAAAUUAUAGAUAAUCUUAGAAAUUUAUCUUUAAAAAAAUAGUUUUUAAAAAUAUUUAAGGAGAAUAAAAGUGAUAAAAAAAAACUUUACAAUUUCAAAUUUUUAAAAAAUGAAAAUUAUUUUUAAGAAUAUAAGUUAAUCUCCUGCAUUUAAAUCUUAGGUGGUUUUUGUUUUUUUUACUUUUCGCUGAAAACAAUUUGUUUUCAAAAUUUAGGUCAUUUGUUUUUUCUAUUUUUUCAUGAUUUAUUAUAAAUUUUUUACUAAAUAAAAAAAAUCAAAAUAUGUAACUUUUUCUAAAUAAAAAAAAUAACGUAUUGAUUUUUCUUUACUUUUUAAUACUUAAUAGAUAUAAAAUACUACAAAAACAAAAAAUCUAAUAUUUAACACUAUUAAGCAUUAAAGUUCUAUUUAGAAUUAAGUAAAAAAACAAACACCACCUUAUAUUUUAUAUAAAAGUUACUUAUAUUUUGGUUUUUGGAAAUAAAAAAUAUAAAGCAUAUCCAAACAUGAGCUUAGCUAUUUUAAAUCAUAUCAAAAUAAUAAUCCCAAUAAGGUAAAUGGACUUUUAUACGGAGAAUAAUCUUUAAGGUUUUCAUUUUUAUUGGAUUUUUUUUUUGUGGUGUUUUUUCAAUCCAUCUUCUCAAUUAAUUCCUUAAAAUUAUUUUACUGUUUUUUUUUUUUUCAGUUUCUAAAUAUUUGAUUUUUCCAAAAUGCUUAAAUGGAAGACACUAAUUUUUCAAGAUAUUUGGUAUUACAAUUUUCCCUGUUCUCCCUAUUAUCUAUCAGAUUCAUGGCCCUUUUGUUUUUUCAUUGGUUUUCAAUUUAAUUUUCCAAAUAUUACAUUGUUGUGUUUUGAAUUUGUGAAACCAAUUUUAUAUAUAUAUAUAGUAUGUAAGUCUACUUUGGGUAACAUGUACAGAGAGGUUUUCAUGUGUUUGAAACCUUUUACCUCAAAAAUUAAUUAUUUUUAAUUUUAUAAUAAAUCUUUUUUUAUUUUUUAUUUUAUUUAGGAAAGCCUAUAUUUAAACUACAUGUUUGCAACGCAACACCAUACAUACUCCUAGUGGAACUUACCUUAGUGCUUGAGGGGGAUGCAGAUCUUCUUCUAAACCUAACUAAUAAGCAUAAAAUUGUUCACUAAUUAGCAUAUCUAGUAAAUCAUACAAAUUGGCAAUAUUUCAUGUUUUUCAUGUUUUGUCAAUAAAAGGCGUCUUGACCAUUUUGUGAGUUUUGUAAUAAAUAAAAAAAAAAAAAAAAAAAGGGCAAAAGGUGACUAAAAUGAGGCACUUUGGAAAGGUUAAUAACCUAAAAGGAAGAUGAAUUAAUACCCCCUUAUUCCUCUUCAAAAACCAUUGAGAAAAUGCAAGAAAUGCUCUUAGUUGUAUGCUAGGCUAACAGCCUAGCAACCAUAAUACCCUUCUUUGCAAUUGUAAGCAUUUUUUUUUUUUUUUUGAAGGCCAAACAACGUUGCAAACUUCCCAAAUCCCUUCUUUAUUUUUUAUUUUUUUAUUUUUGUUUUUAGAAGGAGAAUGAAUUUGAUGACAAACUCCUUGUCAAUCUUAUCCAAACCACGAUCGAACAGAACUCCUUGUCAAUCUUAUCCAAACCGUGUUCCACCUCAAAAACAUGUGUAGGACUUAAGGCAGCAACUGGCAAGCAUGACUGAUAGGGCCAAGUGCCCUUGUCUCUACAAUCCAUUAAGUUAACCAAGGGCAGUGAACCAUCAUUCUUUUCAAAAGCUUCAUUCCGUGUUGAAAAUGUGAGACUGAAGCAUGGUGCCCCCAAAAAUAACGAUCUAUUUACUAGCAGCAUGCCUGGACCCAUUAAAAAUACUCUACUUUAGGAAUAGAAAAAAUUACAUCUUUAUCCAAUAAUUUUAUAACAAUUCAGACGUUUCAGUCUAUAAAUAAUUGUACAUAGUUGCCAACGUUUAGCUAGUUUCAAAUGAAUAGCCUAGGUUCAUGCACCAGUUUGGCUGGUGGAGGAAAGGGAUUCGAGACAUUGAACCCUCUUUUUAGUGUGCCAAAUAUUCCACAAAAAUCACUACCUUCUCUUUGUGUUUGUUCACUUUUAGUUUAUAUUUAAUAAAUCUAUGUUUUCGAGUAGAGGUUGGGUUCAGGUGCGACCCACGUCACCUCUCGGACGGUCUUGAAAAAGGAGACCGGACCACGUAAUUUCAAAUGUAGUGACCAUCUCACUUUUACCUCCAUCCUUGAAGAUGGUUUCCCAAAUCAAUAUUAAUCUUUUGUUUACGACAAUAUCGAUCACUUUAUGUCUAUAUCGUUGUUAAUUUACCUUUUUUUUUUAGCCACAUUAUUUGAAAAUUGAUGCAAACUUUACCAACAUCUUGGUACCAUUUUAAAAUAUUAGAGUUAUUUGAUUAAAAAAAUAAAAUAAUCUCGAUAACUUGUUUAUAAAAUAAAUAUCUUUUAACAUUUAGACUAUUCUCACGCAUGCUUUAAAAUUGUAAAGAUAUUCAUAAAGUGGAACUUUAGACUUAAUCAAUAUCGAUCACUUUAUGUCUCUAUUGUUGUUAUAUUUUUUUUUUACAACAUUAUUUGAAAAUUGAUGCAAACUUUACCAACAUCCUAAUACCAUUUUAAAAUAUUAGAGUUAUUUGAUUAAAAAAAUAAAAUAAUCCCGACAACUUGUUUAUAAAAUAAAUAUCUUUUAAUAUUUAGACUAUUUUCACCAUGCUUUAAAAUCAUAAAGAUAUUUAUAUUCAUAAAGUGGAACUUUAGACUUAAACAUGAUAAUAGUUUUUUUACAAUAUUAUAAUUAUUUUAUCGUUUUAAUUAAGCCCUUUAUCAUACAUAUAAAUGUAAAUUAAUGCUAAAUUUUUAAAGCAACGUAUAACCUUUUACAUCUUUUUUUAAGAUGGUGCGAAAAUCCUAUGAAAAAUAAUAAAAGUCGAUGCAUAAGAAGAUUGUUUUGAUAAUUCAAUAGAAAAAUUCUUUUAAAAUGAUAUUAAAAAAUACCCAUAGAGCCUUUAUUAAAAAAAUCAAUUAUUUUCAUAAUAAAAAUUAUAAUUUUUUAUUAUGUAUUAUUAUUUUUAAGUAUCUUUAUUACAAAUACUUUUUUUGAGUUUAUGAGAGGAAUCAACAGGUUGGUACAAGCUUAGGCGUCCUCGUACAUGUUCCCGCUGUGCAAGGUUUUUGUCUUGUUUCGAGCUAGUCGGAAUUUACGUGUUUGAUAACGUUUUGUCCUAUUUUUGUAACGCUUUAAAGGGCGGCCCACCGUUGGAACAGUUCAAGCCAUCCAAAUCAGCCCGGAGGGUUAUGGCGACGUGGCAUGACGCCUACCACCUUAGUUCACAUGAACCCUAUGAUCGUACUACCCUCACAUGACAUCUGUGAUUCUUCACCUCCAAACCCUCUUUAACUUGGUAAUGUAUUCAAAGCUUCAUCAAAUCAUAGCGAUUAGCGACCCUCUUCCACCCUAAUUUUAUAAUAAAAAAUAAAUCUUAGUGGACAUUAAAGUAGUAUUUUGUGGGGGGAAAGAAAAACUCUAUGGGCGUAUCCACUAAAUACGAGCCAAGUAUAAGAGUUAUCACCAUGGAAUCAAAUUAUGAAGCAUUGACAUUUUAAUUGUAUUCAGAUUUGAGGAGGGCACCGCGGCACCAGCUGGCCCAGUGUAGUCUGCUAGCCUACCCGCCAUAAUGACCAAAUUAAUAAAGUAAAAAGGAUUACAGGGAUAUUCCCAACUUUAUUCUGGGUCUGAGCUGGAACUUGGGAGUUAUCACGAUCAACGGGAAAGAUGGUGGGUAGGGGACGAGGAUUGAGGGCUCCAUAUUCACAUCAGUGAAAAACGAAAUGUAUUGAGACAAGUCUUCUAAGGAUUUUCUAGCGUAUUAUAUGGUUUAAAUGAUUAUAAAUCUGUAGUUACUGGUAAAGAGUAGAGAGUGAAGACGAAAGACGUUGAGUGAAAAGGAAGGAGGAGAGGGGAUGGGGCCAUCUUACCGUGUCGGGGAGGAUCCAUAAAAGGACUACGUUCCCUGAAUCUGUAGGCAUCAUGCCUCGCCUAACGGGUUAGUCAAAAUACAGUGAUGUGUGUGAGUUGGGGGCCUCACUCCUCAUUUCUUUCCUUCUUUUCACCCCCACCCCCACUUUUUUUUUUUUUUUUUCGAAUUUUUCUUUGUCCUUUUCUCUCACUUGCGCACGCGGGAGAAGGACCACAAACUAGACAAUUCCUCUGCUCACGUGACCCCGAGUUUUUAAAUAUUUGCCUAUUUGGAAAAUAGUCAUGAAUCAUGAUCGUUAACAAACAAUCUUCACUUUAUUUAUUUAAGAUCUAUUUUUUGGAGCUCUAGUUUAGUUUAUUAUUAUUAUUAUUAUUAUUAUUAUUAUUAUUAUUAUUAUUUAGUAACUCCUCUUAUAUUAAUGAAAAAGAGAGGAGGAAUCCAAACUUGUUUAUUCUUCCUCUUUUAAGGUGUUUGUUUUUUUUAUUUUAUUUUUAUGCUUCAUAUGUCUUCAAUUUCUUAGCAUUUGUCUUAUAUUUCUUCUUAUCCGAUUCAUUAUUGCAUCCUUGGUCAAUCUUUCACGAGGAGUGCCUACUUUUUUCCUUUUUAUUAUUUAAUUCACUUUAUCUUUAUAUUUUCCUUUUACACUUUAUUUCCAAUUCAAAACGUGUCAAAAAAAAAAAUUGGUAACAAAAAAAAAAAAAAAAAUCAAUUGUAAUGAUUCUUAUAUAAUUUUAUUUAAUUUUUAUUAAACAAUAAAGAAAUUAAAAAUAUAUAAAUUUUUAAAUAAUUAUUAUAGUCUUUCAUUUUUGUGUAUAAUUUCUUUUGCAAGAAAUAGUGUAGGCUUUCCACGGUCUAAAGGAAAUGGAAUAUCAAAUGAGAAGGUAAUAAUAAUAAAGUGAGUUAUAGAUACUAAUCAAACUAAUCCACUAAUGAAUUAUUUAUUUUUAUUUCACAUGGACAAAUCCUAAAAGUUGGAGUUCUAAUUUACUUUUAUGUUAAGCUUUUUUAAGUAAAAAUCUUUUAUUAUUAUAAUUUAUAGACAAAAAGAAACCCAUUAAUGUGAUGGAUAAAAAAUUUCAAUUUAAAAAAAAAAAAAUUAAAGUUGCUAAAUUUUUGUAUUUAUUAUUUCAAACUCAUUUAAAUAAUUUAAAAAUAUGUCUUCAAUUAAUUUUAAUGAAACAAAGCAUGAUUUUUUUUUAAUUUUUUUUUCUUUACCAAAUAAAGCAUUAUUAUAAUACGUUGAUUAAAUUUUCAUCAUGUCUCUCAAGAUUUGGAUUAAAUAUACUUAGUUGUCAUAAAUUUGAAAUUUUAUUUAAUGUAUUUUUUAUUUUAAAUUAAAAAGAUGAAUGCAAAUAAAAAAAAUAUGUAUAUUUUAUAAAAUUUUAAAUUAAACGAAGGAUACGUGUAUUUAACCAAGGUGAAUGAAAUUAAUCCAAAUACUUUUUGGUAACUUGCAAAAUAUCUUGACGAAAUCAUUAUGGCAGGCAUCGUACAAGCUCAACCCUUGUCGCCUUGCUAGAAAUAGAGAAACAAAAAGACCCCCAAAUUGGGUUGCAUCCUAAAUAUGAAGAAGUGGUAACAAAGGAAGAAAAAAUGCUGUGUUAUUGAAUAGUUAAUACAUUGAACAUGAUAUGUUACAUAGAGAGCCAGAUUAAUCCUAGUGGAAUUCCACUGUCACGAUGGUAACCUAGGGUUAUGUUUGGUUAUUGAAAAUACCAAGAAAAGAAAAAAAAAUAUAAAGGAAAAUAAUUUUUUCAUUUUUGAUUGUCUUAUAAAAGAUAUAAAAAAAAAACAAAUAUAAUUAAAACUAAUUAAAAAUUUAGGUAUUUUUAAAUUAUUUAAUUUUUAUAUUAAUGAGCGAAAAUAAAUAAAAUAAGUUUAAAAUAACAAAAAAAAUAAUUUACCGAUUUUUAAUCUAUAUUUUAUUUUACUUUUUCUUUGUAUUUUUUUUUUCUUAUAUUUUCCCUCAAAUUUUCUGAAUCAAACAUAGCAAAAAAGGAGCUACCCCUUUCGAAAGAAACUCCCAAGAAUUUCAAAGAAACCUGCUGAGAUAAUGAAUGAGGGAUCACUGUCGGUAAACAGUAUCCAUUCUUUUGGGAGGACUUUCAAACUGAGAAGUUGUUUUCAUGACUUGGAAACAAAAUUUUGAGCUCUAAGGGGGUCUGUAUUUGGGCCCUAAAAUUCAAUCCAUCAAUCUGAAAAAUGCUUAGGAUAAUGAUUUGAUUUAGCCACAAUCACUAAACAAAUUCCAGAGGAAAAUUUCGCUACUCAUAGGUGGCUGAUUCUCAUAAAAAGACAUCGUGGUAGGGUGUCUCAAGUGCAGGCUCACCAUCAACUUGCUGCCCUUUUUAGAUUAUUGUAAAAUGAUUUCACAUGAAGCCCAAUGCAAAACUUUGAAAGAAAAGGUUGGUGGAGACGUGAAGAAUAUGUAACCCAUAGGCCAUAACUAGUACCGAAGAUUAUUGAACAAACAUUCAAGGUUUUUGUAUAGACGAAACUGAAAAGAAUGUGUACCAGACUCAGGCGUUCAGAUCAGAUGAUGCCGUAAUGUGGAUUGUGGAGGAGCAUUGUGCAGACAGAUAAUGAGAUUCUGAAAGCGAGGCCACUGAUGGGCCCUUGGAAGGGGGGCGUGCCUUCAAAAUUAUAUAUAUAUAUAUAUAUAUGUCAUUGAAAAUUGGAAGCAACUUUUCUUCUUAAGUUAUUUUAAUCGAAGAAGAAACAAAAAGUUAAAAACAUACAUUAUUCUUCCUUCUUACGAGGUUUCCGGGUCUAAAUUACUAUGGUCUCUGCAACUGGCGUCGUUUUCUCUCCCCUCUCUCUAUUUUCCCUUUAUUUUUUCACUUUUAGAAAGAAGCAUCCCAUCAAGAAUCUACUACAACCCUACGCUUCCAUUUUGAUUUAGAAAGUUAAAAAUAAGUUUAAGUUAAAAAAAAAUAUUUUCUUAUAUAAUUAUUUAAACUUAUUUCUUUUCCUUUUUAUAUAAAGAAACAAAUAUUUUGCAAAUAAAUAAAUUUCUAAUUAUUUUCAUUAACAUAAUAAUAAUAUUUUUCAUAUGACUUUAAUCACAAUUUUUUUUACCACUUGUCCAAGGCGGUGAGAGGUGAUAAAAUGUAUUAAAAAAACGAUUAAAUUGCAUUAGGUAUAGAAGUUUUGUGCUUCAAUUAUCACUUAUAAAAAUAAAAUAAAAAUAGUCAAAUUUGAGUGUGCAAGUUGGUAUUCGUAUGUAGAAGGAAUUGGGGGAUUUGGGGGUCCUAACAAAUUUGAUAUGAUUGAUGGAAGGAAAUGAUUAUUAUAGGAUAAAGUCCGAAUGAAACGCUGACGAGGGGGGAAAAACAACAGUGGCAAUGCACUAUCCACAGAUCCAUGAUUGAUUUAUGUUAGCAAUAAUGAAUUAUUUUGACUUUGAUAACCUUGGUUAAGAGAAUUUGGUCUUGUUAUUAUCAUUUUUUCAAAAAAAAAAAGUGUAGGUAACUAGGUAGUUGAUUUAUUAGAAUUUAGAAAUGAGGAUCCCCUCCUCCUGCAAGAGCCGUGACAGACAUGCCUGCUUUCUUGCCAGAUUAUACCAAUGUGCCCAAAUAAUCCCCCAUCUAUCAUCUCUGCACCCUGGAACACGUCACUCCCUCCUUUGAGCAAUAAAAUAUCUCUUUUAUUUUCUUUUGAACCACUCUUCUAUUUCUUUGUACCAGACUGGACCCAUUUAAAUUCUUCGCUACGCUGUUCCCAAGGACUACGAGAAUCAAAAUAGCAAAAUUCUUGAAUCAUUUUAAUGGGUUCAGAAACCACAUGUUUCUCUAGAUCAUAAGAGGAAAAUCUUUUUGGAUGGUGUUUGUGUUGUGUUGUGUUCAAUAUUAAAUACUCAAUUAAAUAAGCUAAAUCAAAUAUCACAUGAAAAAUAAUCAAAUUAAAAAUAGGGAGAAUUAUGUUUUGAGGGUAGAUGGACCCCAAAUUAACAAAAGGUUCAUGUAACUCUUCAAAUUGAGCCCAGACCCAAUGAAAAUAUGGAAAUUGAGUUGAAGUAUAUCAUCAUUCAGUAUUUCCAAAAAUGUCCUUUGUUGAUUUUGAGAAAAAAAUUAAUAUUUUUGAAAAAUAUUUUUAUGUAAUUUAAUAUUUUUUUAAAUACUUUUAUUUAAUUUAAUAUUUUUAAAAAAUAAAUUUAUUUAAUUUAAUAUUUUAAAAAAUAUUUAAUUUAAUAUAUUUUUUAAAUACUUUAAUUUAAUUUAAUAUUUUUGAAAAAAAUUUUAAUUUAAUAUUUUUGAAAAAAAAAUUAUUUAAUUUAAUAUUUUUUAAAACUAUUUUUAUUUAAUUUAGUAUUUUUGAAAAAAAAUUAUUUAACUUAAUUUUAUAAAAUAUUUUAUAUGUGUUCUUAAAGGGUAUAUUUGUCCGUUACUAUUUCAUAUCCUUCAACUCAAUUUAAAGAGUUAUAUGGACCUUUUGUUAAUUUGGGGACCCAUCUACCCUCAAAAGAUAAUUCUCCCUUAAAAAUAUAAAUUUAAAUAUGACAUAAUUAUUAAAUAUGUUAGAUCUUGUAUGAGUUUAUAAGAUUUAUGUUUCAAAAUAACAUGUUUAUAAUUCAUCUAUUGAUUUAUAAUCAAAUUUUAAAUAAAUUAAAGUUAUUCAAGUUAAUAAAUAUGAUUUAUGUUAUAAAGACUAACUAAAAAAUAAUUUAUUAAUUAAACGGAUCCUGGUCAAUAAAAAUUUGAUUUAAAUACGAUCAUACUUAAUCAAAACUUAGGUCAAAUUGUAUUGAUAAAUUACAUCAAAACCUUGUUGUGUUCAAUAUUUUAUAUUAAACUAUUUUUUAAUAAAAUUAUUUUUAUAAAUAUAAUAUUACAUCAUUUGGAGAAACAAAAUAGUAUUAUAUUGAUUUUACAUAUAAAGCAACCAGUUAACCCCUCAUUAUUUUGAUCCAUUUCACAUCCAUAUCAUUCUCAUAAUUUUUUUAUAAUAUAUUAACAUGAUGGACGGUAAUUGAGGGUAGAAAAAAAAGAUGAGAAGAAUAAAAUAAUGUGAAUCCUCUCUAAAUGUUACAUCUUCUGACAAAUGAAGUCUAUAGAAAUGUGUAAAAAAAAAAAAAACACUUAAUUGUGAGGUUCACUUGAUUUAGCAAAAAAUUAAUAUUUUAUUUGUUGUGUGAUUUAAAAAUAAUAUUUUAUUUUUAAAAAUAAAAAAUUAUUUUUAAAGUUUUUUAACACUAUUUUACUAUUGUUCUUUGAAAUAAUUUUUAAAAUUAAAAUGAAAUAACUAAUAAUUUUUAGAUAAUAAAUUAAAGUUGUUUUUAUUAGAUUUUAAAAAUAAAAGAAAAAUAUAAAACCAUUUGAUCAAAUUUUUUUAAACUUAUUUUUAAAAGGUUUUUUUUUUUUUUUUUUUUUUUCUAUCCUAAGUUAAAAGAUAAAAAAUAAUUUUUAAAGAUAGGUUACGAGCAAAUGCCACAAACUUUUUUCUUCUCUUUCCCUUGUUCGGAUAGAAGUGAAAAAUAUCCUCCCAUGGAUCGACAUUACGUGAGCCAUCACCAUUCCCCAACUGCAAUUCAACCGCCAAAGCUGAGGUGUCAUUAUUAGUUUGAACAAAAGUCAGCAUUGUCCACGUGGUGACAAGCGGAACUGACCCAACUUGCAAGGCAAAAAAAUAAAUAAAAUAAAAUGAAAAAAUCAGAUCACCAUUAUGACGUCAGUCCAAUUGCUGACCUGGCCGCCGUCCCCCAUUUGACCCACGUGUUCAUUUAACCCAUUCGCCGUAUGCCGUGGCUCCCCACCCAUAUGGCCAUAUCUGCCAUUUAUUUUAUCCGUUGCCUCCAUUCGGUUUUUGGAUUUUACCCAUUCGCCCUCGUCUAUUCCCAUUUCCGUAUUUGCCCACCAAGGAAAUUCAAUUCCCAUGCUUUUGUUUUACAUUCAAAUCCUCCCCCCUCUAUAUAAAGGAGGGAGUAGGGCUUGAAAGUUUCUCAAGCCAACAUGGACUGUUGAGAGUGAAAGACAGAGGAGCCACAAACAAAUAUCACUCACUCAAACCAAAGCCAAAACCAAUACCGAAUUCAAUUCAAAUGACUUCUUUCUCUCUCAUCAAUUCCCUGAAUUCCGAUUCCGAUUUCAAUUUGUUAUCGGAUUCUUUUUCCUGGGAAAACUCCCUACCUUUCAAUGAAAACGACUCCCAGGAGAUGCUCCUCCUGGGCAUGCUGGCCAGCUCCACUCAGGAAACCUCAGAAACAGUUUCUUUGAAUCGAGUGAAGGAGGAAGAAGUGACUUCCCAGGAAAAUCCCGAGAAGGAGAAGUCAUACAGAGGCGUUAGGAGGCGGCCAUGGGGGAAAUUCGCAGCAGAAAUAAGGGACUCGACCAGGCAUGGCAUAAGGGUGUGGCUGGGAACAUUUGACAGUGCAGAGGCAGCUGCUCUGGCCUAUGAUCAAGCUGCUUUUGCGAUGCGGGGCCCUGCGGCAGUCCUCAAUUUCCCGGUGGAAAGAGUGAAGGAAUCGAUGCAGGAGAUCAAGUGCAUCUUGGAGGAGGGGGGCUCACCAGUGGUGGCCCUCAAGAAGAGGCACUCUAUGCGGAGAAAAAGUCCUUGCAAGAAACAUAAAAGUGAAGAGGUGAGGUUAGAAAAUGUGGUAGUGCUGGAGGAUUUGGGUACUGAAUACUUGGAACAGCUCCUCACUUUCUCUGAGACCUCUAGUCCUUGAUCAUCAUCAUCCAUCACCUGGAUAGCUUCUUCUCUUUGCUCUGUUUCUUACUUUUCUCUCUCUCUCUCUCUCUCUCUCUCUUUUUUUUUUAUGUAAUUUUUCUUAAUGUAUUUUUGGAGAUGGCGGGGGUGUAGUGGUGGCAAUUAUCCAUCUAGAAUUUUUCAAAAGAUAUGUUCUUUUGUUUCUUUGUAUAAAGUUGAAAAGUGGGGAUCAAUUGUGAUGGUGCUCUAUGUUCAUCCACCCAAUUUAUAUAAUCAAGGUGAUUAAUGUUUUUUGAUAUCAACAAUUUGUGAAUGACAUAGAGAGAGAGAGAGAGAGAGACCUUAUUUUCUACACUCAUUACGGUGGUUUCCAUUUGGGGAAGGAAAAGGAAAUGGCUAAGAAUGUUACCAAAAGAAGUGGGGUGGCUUUCAUAUGCGUGGUGGCAUACUUGCAUACAAACUUUUCAAUUGUGUUCUGCAUGCCACUCGGGUCAAUUUCAUUUCUUUUACUCCUAGUAGCCUAAUUGGAUUUCCUUUUUCUCAUGAGACAUCAAAUAAAUUUCAUUUUUUUAUAUUUAAAUAGUUAGGUAAGUUUGAUAGUGAGUUAUAUUUUAUACAUUAAUUCAUCUUUUAGAAUGUUGUCUACAAUAUAAACAGUGUAAUUAAUUUCAUCAUUACAGAACAGUCAUCUUAUAAAAUAACAUAAAAAUUAUUGGAUCACUUGUAUGGCACCACUGAUUUGGACUUGGUAUGGCUCUGUUUGGCUUCAUAGAAAAAAUUUGGACCCAAUUUGAAUGUCUUGCAUAAAAAGAGAUACGUCCCACUUUGAAUGAUAUUGAAGAAAAAAAUUUCUGAUGAAGAAUAUAUUGUUGGCAGGGUCAUGCAGGCCAAUAGGGAAACGAUAAAUUCAGAAGAAUGAGUCCAAACCAGUGGGCUUGAAAAUUAAGAAGAGAAUUGCUGUAUAAAACAAUCAUUUCUUAAUCGAGUUCACUUUCUGAAUAAUCGUCACUUUGAGAAUGCAUACUUAGGAAGAUGAUGAUCCUUAAUGGGAAUAAUCAAAGGCAUCAAAAAAUUGUUCUGGAACAAUUCUUGAUUGUCUCCAGUAAAAUUCAAAGUCAAAAGUCAAAAGUCCAGUCGGUCAACACCAAACCAGGCCAGUCCAAAAGACAUUAAUUUGCAAUCUAGAAUCUAUGAUGAGGUGGCGAAAUCAAACCUUGGCUUUUCACCAGGGAAUGGUACUCUGAAUUUGGUCAGUUCACUGUUUCGAGUGAAUAGGGUGUAGUAAUUAGUAAAUCAUAUUUUAGAUUUGUGUCACAAGUUACAAGGGAUAUGGGCUGACGUUCAAUUUUGGCGACAAUUUGUGGGCCCGUAUAUUUGUUGAGAUGUGGAAAUUGGGUGUGUGCUUUUUUCUGCUACCACAUAAAUAUAUUUCUUUGAAUUGAAGAGUGUUUCAGACCAUUUUUUUUCAAGUCACAAAUGGACAACUGAUUGAGAUUGUAUUGGUGAGAGUAGGAGUUUAUUUUGGGCUGGUUGAGCGAAGUUGAAAGUCGAGUUGGACCUAACCCUUGAAUUCAGCAGACUACAGUCCGAUCCUGUAUUUUGGAUUUAGGGAACCUUCUUUCCCAGAAGCUUCGUCUGGGUUUUAAAGUCUAAAUGUGGCUACUCUUAAACAUUGGAGAAAGGAUGAGCGUUCACAAGCAAAUGGGUAAUUGUGGAUGGUUCAAGGACCUGGCCAGCUGGUCUUCAAGUUUGGAUGCCGGUUUGGGCCUGAGAGAGUCUUUGCAAAGUGACUUCACUUCAGCCUAUGAGAUCAAGAUAUCAUGGUGAUGUCCGAUCACUUAGGUUUCAUUUUCACCUCGGAUUACCGUUACCAUGUUCAUGAAUAAAAAUAAAUAAAUAAAUGAAGCCUUAUAGAGAAAUUAAUGAAGUGAGCUAUACAAGCAACUGGGCCAGGAGCCUACAAGGCAGAAAUUCCCUGCCCUAGACUAGGCCGAAUAAAUUAGAUGAAUGAAUUGGGGAAACCUGGGCCAGCCACACAUCCUCCUGAAGGCUGAUGUCGAACUCGCUUACGAGGAAUGGACAUGGGAGAUUGGGCUGGGACCAAAUAACCAAUUGACAGCCCUAUCCUUGUGGCAAGACGUCAGUAAAAUGGUUCAUUCUGAUUUUACGCUGCCAUUCAAUUUAAUUUUAAUUUUUGUUUAAAGCGAUGUACAAAUUGAAUGGUGUCUAGUCACUUAAAGAGUGGUUCAUAAUACACUUAAUUUAAACAAAAAAGAAAUUAUUAGAUAGGGGAUUCUCCAAUAAAAACCACCCCAUCUUGUCAGCAAGUCCGGAAACUUCCUUCACUUAGGGCGUAUUUGUUUUUUUAACUUUAAUAUUAAAGAAAGUUGGUUAAACCUUAUGACACUUUUAUAUUAUUUUAUGAAUUUUUUUUAAUUUUUAUUUUAAUGGAAUUUUAACUUUAAUACAAGUUGGAGUAAUUCUUAUCUUAAAAACAAAUCAAAAUUACUUUAAUUUUAUAUAGAAAUAAACUUACAGUAAAUUUACCAUGAAAAUUUCUAAGUCAAAUACACCAUAAGUGCUAGUAUUUUAUAAUAUUUAGAAACAUGUUAAAUUAUUAUUAUUAUUUUUUAAAAUUAUUAGUUUUCAUAUUAGUUUUAGGGAAACUUGUGCUUUAGGUCUUUUAUUUGCAAAUAAUAUGGUUUUCAAAUCCUAAGAAUAGAAAAUAUGAGAAUCAACUGUUAAUGUGGAAAAUAAUAUCAAUUUUGUGCAAUCUCUAUUGACUCAUUUUUUUGUGCCUAGAUUGCCUUCACCCACUUCCAUGUCAACAACCACAUUAAUAGAUUGUUUUUUUUUUAUAAAACAAAUAAUUAUUAUGUUUAAAAUUUUGGGGAAACUCUCUAUCUCUCUUACUUCUUCACUACAUCCGAGACCCAUCUUCCUUAAACGUUUGCCUCUCAUUUUGCCCUAACCCCAAAUCUCAUAAAUUUCUCAUUUUCUUGCCUCAUUUGAAAUAUGAAGAUGACCGAUUCUCAAACAUCUCUGUCUCUCUCUUCACGUUUUGACCAGUCUAAUUGGAAACCCAUUUUCCAAAAACCUUCUUUCUUUCAUUUUGCCCUAACCCCACUAUCUCCCUCUUCAAGACCUAAUCACCCAAACUCGAUAUCUAUCUUCCCAAAACCUUCAAGCAAACUGAACUAGACCCAUAUCUUCUUUUUUCAUCAUCAAAGGUGAAAUUUUUUUAAGGCUUUUGGAAACCGAAUUGGAGCUUUCCCUUCUUCUGGGAUUAAUCAUUCGCAAGUGAGUUUUCCAUUUAAGGCUUUGUUUGGCUGUUGAAAUCUUGGGAUCAAAGGUCUUUUAUUUUCAGGUUUCUUGUAUUUUGCUUUAUUUUCUUGUAUAUAACAAUAAUCAUUGUAACAUAUGCUAGUAGUUACCCUUGGUGCAACUUUACAUUUCCAAAUACCCUAAAGUCCAAAGCUUUUAAUUCCCUUUUCAAAGCUUUCAACUUUGAAAGCAGACUAAACCAUAAGAACUAUGAAACUUAUAUCUCUAUCACCACUAAUUAAGCAUGUCUAUGAAUCCUUCCACUUUAAGUCACUUAUUCUCAAACCAAGAAGGGCUCCUCUCAUUCUCACCCCACCUCAUCUAAAUGAGGGAAAUGAUCAAUUGCAGCCAUGCUUUGCACCAAAUUAGAGAAGUGAUCCUCCCAAUCAUCCAUUACCAAAAAUUGAUCAUGCUGAUGAGAUCAUAAGAGUCUAUUCGGAACUCCCAGUUUACUUGCCUCUUAUCUCAGGAUCCUCCAUUACCCCCUGUCUUUCCAACAUCAAAUCAACUUGCAAACAAUUCCUUUGUAGAUAAAAUGUUUUUAAUAUUGCAAAAGGGGACUUAUCAUAAUGGUUGAAUCGAUUUAUUUGAUAUAAUCACUCAAAUUCAAGCUUAAAAUUGAUCAUAAUAAAAUGUUUUUAAUAUUGUUAAAAGGAGAUUAUAAUGGUUUUAUUUGAUAUCAUUACUAAAAUUCAAGCUUUCAAACAUGCUCUACAAAGAAGUUCUAAAAGACUACAAGAAAGAGUUUCCACUAAAGAAAAACAAUGAAACCAUUUCUACUAAAGACAAACAAUGAAACCACAGAUGCUUUGUGAAAUAUGUACCCGCACAAUCCAACAAACUUUAGAAAUUCACAAACACUACCUAGAAUUUUUGCUGACCAGCAAAAAAUUUAUGCAAUUUAAUUCUUAUUGUUAUUAUUAUUUUCAAUGUGAACAAAUAUGAUUGAAUUAUGAAGUAUUUGGCCAGAAGAGGAUCUUGCCUAAUUAUAGUCAUUAAACAACCAUUUAUACCAUAGCCUCUAGACUUUAAAAAGUUUAUAAAACUCAAGGGCUUCCACCCAAUUUCUAGAUAUCUCCAUAACAUUCUUCUGACUAUUAGAAAGCAAUUACCACUUUAAUUUUUCAUUUCAUGAGUGUUCAAUUCAGAAAAAGACCAGGAUCGAACUUGCGAUCAUGCAGUCGAAAAUCCACCUGUGCAUGAAACUAUUGCCUCACGAUUGCAAACUCAAGUUGGAGUCCAGUAACAACUCUAGGUUUGCUGAUGUGCUCCAUUUGAAAUAAAGGAACUAAAGAAUACUUUAUAAAGAUUAAUUACCUUCAUAUUUUAGGUUGGGGUUAAGGCAAAAUGUGAUAGAUUGAGAGGAAGAAAAUAUAUCUUGUUCAGGAAGCCAAUAUUUUGGAGUUCACCUUUCCAUUCGAGUCCACUCUGCUAUAGCAAAAUCAGAGUCACAACUAUGCCUCUUUAAGCUAUCCUUUAAUUGGAUGAAUUGCAGAUUUGGUUGCUGAGAAAGUGGAUAAGAAAGAAAAAUGCAUACUGUAGCUUGAGAUUAAGAGUUUGUUUUCUAAAAUGAGAGAAAGGGAAAGAGAAAAAAUGCAUAUUGUAGCUUGAGAUUAAGGGUUUGUUUUCUAAAAUGAGAGAAAGGGGAAGAGAAAUGUUCGACAACUUUGAGAUGACAAAUUUUUAGAUUUGGAAAAUUUGAGAUGAGUCUCAGGUUUUUUUUUUUUUUUUUUUGUCUUUGUCUUUGUUUUUUUUUUUUUUUUUUGUUUUUUUCCCAAAAACAACCUGUUAAUGUGGUUGUUGACAUAGAAGUGGGUGAGGGCAAAAUGGGCAUAGAAAAAAGAGUCAACACAAAGUGCACAAAACCCAUAUUAUUUUCCACAUUAAUGACUGAUUCUCAUAUUUCUUGUUCUUGGGAUUUGAAAACCAUAUUAUUUGCAAAUGGACCUCCCAAAGCACAGGUUUCCCUUAGUUUUAUGUCUCCAUCUACAUUUUACAUAUAAAUAGAUUAUUUUAUAAAAUUUGUUUUGUAGAUAUAUUAGUUAAUAAUUAUAUAAUUAAUGAUAUAGAAAACAUAUAAAAAUCAUAUUUAAAAAAGAUAAUUACAUAUUCCUCAACAAUCCAUCCCAAGAAUUCGAGGUUGAGUUGAAAACAUGUAGAGUCUUUGAUGUUAUUAUAAUCAUAUCCAACACAUAUGAUUAUUGUUUAUGAGAUAUUAUUAGAAAGUUUGUCUUAAAAUAAUUGAUUUAUUACCCACCUUUAGCAAAUGCCCAUUUUUGCGUCUUUCAAAAUUUUCAUUUUUUUUUUGUUUAAAAGAAGUAUUGUAAAGAAUGAUGAAAUAAGAAAUUUGUUGAGAAAGUGUGAGUAAAUAAUUUUACAUAAAAAGAGAUUUAAUACUUGAUAAAUAAAAUAAUAAAAUCAUGAUUUCUAGUUGUAUAGGGCCGGGUGGAUGGAGUGGCUAAGAUGUAAUUCUUGAAAUAGAGGAGACAACAUCAAUGUAUAAAAGUUUAACAGAGAAGGAAAGUGUGUUUGAAUGACUUUAUUUUCUUCAUUUAAAGUUUUGACGAUGAGUGUUUAUACAAGAUAAAUUUUCAAAUGAUAGGACUCCUAUUUACAUGGAGUUUGUGAUAUACUAUGAUUAUACAAAUUUAAAAUUCAAACAGAUUCAUGAGUUGAUAGGAGUCUGCUCAAUACGCCCCUUCAAAAUGGUGGGAGAUAGCACACCAAUCUUGACUCGAAGGGCCUAAACUCGUGCAGAAGAUGAGGGCUUUGUUAGAGCAUCGACAAGUUGAUCCGUGGUUGACAUAUGGGACACCUUGAGCUCACCUGAUUAAACCUUGUUUCAAACAAAAUGAAAAUCAAUCGCCGAUGUGUUUCAUGGAGAGUGAAACAUGGGAUUUGCACAAAGAUAUGUUGCACCCACGUUAUCACAAGAGAUAGGAGGUGGUGAUAAAUUUGAAACACUAAGUUUUGAGAGAAGAGAAUUAACCCAAAGAACCUUUGAGGCUGUAGAGGCCACGACGUGAUAUUUCGCUUCAGUGGAAGAGCGUGCUAUGAACUUUUGUUUCCUCGAUGACCAAUACACAAGAUUGUGACCAAGAAAAACAAUGGGAGCAUUGGUGGAGGAUCUGACAUAAGGAUUCCUUGCCCAUUCAACAUUCGAAUAUGCAUGUAGAUUGAUGGGCGAUUUCUUAUGCAAGAACAGACCAUGCACCAUUGUGCCGACUAAGUAUCUAAGCAAUCUUUUAACACAAGACCAAUGUGUUGAUGUUGGAUGGUGCAUAAAUUGAGAUAAUUUAUUCAUCAAGAAGGUGAUGUCAGGGCUAGUAAGAGAGAAGUAUUGAAGGCUUCCAACAAUUGACAUAUAUUUAGUGGGACCAGGAAAAGAGGUGUCAUCACACAGAUUUGGAACAUUGUUGAGGAACAUCAAUGAUUGAACUGGUUUGGUAGCCACCAUUUGUGUUUUCUUAAGAAGCUCUCGAAUGUACUUGAGAUAAAAAUAAUCCUUUGGAAGUAUGUAUCAUUUCAACACCAAGAAUAAAAGAUGAAGUCCUGAGAUCCUUAAUGGAGAAUUUGACUGCUAAUUGAGAGAUCACGCGAGCACGAAAAACAUUAUUGUUACUUGUUAAAAUAAGAUCAUCAAUAUAAAUAAGUAGGUAAACAAUGAGACCACUCUUUUUAAAAAUGAAGAGGGAUGUCUCGGUUUAGGAGUUGACGAAGGCUAUUGAGAGGAGAAAUUGGCAAAGUUCAUGAUACCAUGAUCGUGGAGCUUGUUUAAAGCCAUAAAAAGCCUUACAAAGUUGGCAAAUGUGAUGAUGUGUGUAUUCGUGAACCCAGGAGGUUGAAUCAUGUAAACAUCUUCAUGAAGUGUCCUAUGCUAGAAUGCAUUAUUAAUGUCCAAUUCAUGAGUUGAUAGGAGUCUGCUCAAUACAAUGUGGGAGUGUGAUUUCAAAAUUAGGGUAAUUUCGAAAUGGAUUUUGUAUUCACAAGUUGAAUUUCAAAAUUAUUUUGAAAUGGUCUUUUAACUUUAAGCAGUUGUGUUCAAAAGGUCAUAACUUCUUCGUUUCAAUUUUGAUUUACACAUUGUUUAAAACAUUGGACUCUUUACUUCCCGAGCUUCAAAACGAUAUAUAGUAUGCUCAAAAAUGACAUCAGGAUUGGUUCAAAUUUCAUCUUGAUAUUAGAGUACAUGUUGUGAUUAGAUUUUGAGUUCCAAAUUUCCAUGUAAACUUGAUUGCAUUUGCUUCAAACCUCCUUCAUUAUGGUUGCUUGCCCUCUAUCUCACUUUGCAACAUUUGUUACUAGUAUUUUAUGUCCAUGACUUACUCAUUUCAACCUUUCUUGGAUUCUUCAUGGUUCACAAAUUAUGGAUUCUUCAUGGUUCACAAAUUGAGUCUUUCAAUUAUGCAUGUUUAACUCCUAUUUCCUUGGUUGAUAAUGACUUUUACACUUAUCAUUUUCUUUUAUUCUUUAAACCUGAAUUUAGACUUACAAAAAAAAGUUAGAUCCAUAACUAGGGUCUUAGCAUCAAUUUGAGUUAAGUUGGAUGAUUUGAAAAUUUUAUAUUACAUAAAUCAUAUCAUACAUGUGCCAUUGGAGUGCACAUUUUGGCUCUAAUCAUGUUCCAACCCAUUGUUUUACUCUUGCAUGAAGUAUGUGGCCAUUGAUUUUAAUUUUAUUUGCGAUUAGGUUCAAAAUGGUGCUUUUGUGUUGCUCAUGUGUCAUCAGAAGAUCAACUAAUGGAUUCUCUAACAAAACUACUACAUCAUAGUCAUUUUUUUUUUUCUUAAGACCAAGAUUGAGAUCUCCAAUCGGAGCCAACUCCAUCUUGGGGGCAUGUUAGUGAAAGAUAAAAUUUAUCUUUAAUUUAAAUAUUAAUAUUUAUCAGUUAUUAGUUUUAAUUAGAGUAAAAGAUAGAGUUUAAAUUGGAGUAGGAGAUAAACUUGUGUUUGAACUAGAAUAGAAGAUAAAGUAUAAAGAUUUAUGUUUGAAUUAGAAUAAAAUAUAAAGUUUGAAUUAGAGUAGAAGAUAAACUUGUUCUUUAUUUGUAUAUAAAUAUUCAUCAAUUCUUGAGAAGAAGAUUAUUUCAUAGUUUUUCUAUCUUCUUUUUUCUUCAUACAUAUCUGCAAGAAAUUGAAGAUUUCAAGUAAAAUAUUUUCUGUUUUAAAUAGUGAAAAAAGCUAGAAAUUCACUUUGUUAUCUCUUGGGGUAAAUUGACAAGGUUUAACGUUAAGAAGGUGAAUUAUUUUUUCAGAAAAACUGAAGUAGCUAGGAUAUCUGGCCAGUUGUGAUCGAUAAAAAAGUUGUAAAAUCUCUCAUAUACUAAACAGGUUUUGGAUGUUGGUAUGGUAAAUCCAUCUGCAGUCAUUCGUCAUCUCAUCUAGUGAGAUGUUUGGGAGGUGGUGACCGCCGGAUUGGGUUUCAUUUGGUUAAAUCUGUCAGUGGGUUGGCUACUACCCGAGCCUCUUGCUUUGGGGGAGGUGGGUUCUAGAUAUAAUGUUCAAACCAUUUUAGUUAUCAUAUGCAUGACAUGUAAGCAUAAUCUCUUUAUCACUUCUUCAAUGGGAGUUCAUGGUUAGGAAUUGACUUCUUUUCUUCUGGGAUGCUUGGCAUGUAAUGGACAAAGUUACUUUUAUAUCGAUCGAAUUUCUAGUAUUAUAGUGAAGACUUACCCUUUUGACAUUUUAUAUCGAAUUAUAGAAGAUGAAAGGGACAUACAUGCAAUCGACUGACGCUUUAGUGAAUAUGCUGAAAAUAUGCUGAUGCUGUGGAGAUCGUAUGAGGACAGAGGAAAAAGAUAGAAAUGGAUAUAUAAUUAGACCUAGGUUUUUAUUAAAUGAGAUGGGGAACAUAGAGUGAGGGAAAAUCAAAAUUUUUGGCUGCAGUUCACAUUGGUGAUAUUUUGGAUUGACAAAGACUAACGACUUUUCUAUUUUUCUUUUCGGCCUGACUGGAUAGUUGGACAUGGACAAUACAGAAUCCACAGAAGGAUUGUUGGGACCGCUGAAAAUUAGCUAGAAGAAGCUGAGGAAGUAGUCUACGUAGUCAAAUACCAAACACAAAGAAAGAAAGAAAUGGAUAUCAUGGAUGCCUAGAGUUAUACUCCUAAUACCGUCACAGGUAUUUUUCUUUCCUCCUUUUUUUUUCUACGAUAAUUAGAGCAUUUCUCCUCCUCCUCCUCCUCCUCCCCCCACCCCACCACCAAAAAAUAAAAAAAUAAAUUAUUGCAAGUAACACUUCAAAUAUUAAUUUAUACAUUCUAAAGUAUAUAUUCAUGAAAUAACUUGAGUAUCAUACAUUAGUUCUCAAAAAAAAAAAAAAAAAAAAAAAAAAAUUACUGGAAGAGAAAAGUUUAAGAAAACAUAAAAAUAUUCAACUACUAUUUUAAAGAGAAAAUUUAAUUUUUACACUAUAAAUUUGAAGAGAACUUUUACAUGCAUCUUAUAUAAACUACCAUUUUUUGCUAAAAGGCUUAAAUUUGUCAAAAAUACCCCUUAGGUGCUUAACGUUCUGGUCAUAAUAUAAUUGGCAUCUUUUCUCAAACAUAAGGCCUGUGUGUGGGAACAAGAUUUAAUGUUAAUGAGCUUCGCCACCGACAUUUAGUUCCAGAAAUCAUUAUUUUAAUAGAGUGGGCUCAAUUUACAACUUUAAUUAAACUCUAACCAACUGCAUUGUGAAAUGAAUAUGUUUCUUUCGUGGUGAAUCCAAUGAGUUGGGAGUCAAACUUUGCUUCAUUGUGUAUAGAUGAAAUGUUAAGACUCCAUGUAACCUCAAACAUUUCCGCAAUNNNNNNNNNNNNNNNNNNNNNNNNNNNNNNNNNNNNNNNNNNNNNNNNNNNNNNNNNNNNNNNNNNNNNNNNNNNNNNNNNNNNNNNNNNNNNNNNNNNNUUCUUUCGUGGUGAAUCCAAUGAGUUGGAGUCAAACUUGCUUCAUUGUGUAUAGAUGAAAUGUUAAGACUCCAUGUAACUCAAACAUUUCCGCAAUGAGCGGGAGUUCUAAAUUUAAUAAUUGAAAUUGUCAGUGGAACCAGUGGACAAGAGUUGGUUUGUGGUUGACAAACUUAUCCGUUUGAUCUUUACUUGAACAGUUCCAGUGUGUGGAUGGGUACUGAUGAAGUGUGCGCAUUUAUUUUGAGAAGCCUGCUUGUUCGCAUAGAUUUUAACGACAUGAACAUUGUGGUAAGGUUAGAGAGUAAUGCGAAUGUAGGAGCUUAUAUUAGAAAUGACACAAACACGUAAAUAGAAGUAAUCUAUAUAUGAUAUUACUCAUGGACUACAAGCAAAGAAGUACAAUACAUGGAGUAAGUGAUGAAAUGAGCAUUCCUCACUACUACUGCUUGACUGAUGGAACAUGAUGCACGAGAUAGCAUAAGUAGUAGUAGGAAGCAGCUCUUAUUUGUGGCGUCGGUAUACAUCAUACUAGGUAGAUGGUUCAAUUGGCAUGGAUGGGUGGUGGAGCCUUGAAGUGCUUGUGAUGGGGAGCCCACGGCUUCUUCUCAGGAGUUGGUGGCUUCUUGUAUGGAGUUGAUGGAGGUGUUUCUACUGGAGGGUGGCCAGGGUAGUGACCCUGGGGUGGUGAAGGUUCUUUUGUCGGUGGUGGCCUCACUAUUAUUGGCGGUAGAGUUGGUGGCUUGGGCGUUGGCGGUGGUCUCACUACUCUUGGGGGUAGAGUUGGUGUCUUGUGUUUUGGUGGUGGAGGUGGCUUAACAGGAGUUGGUGGCUUGUAUUCUGGGGGUGGUUUCUCCACCGGAGGUGGCUUAUAAACUGGAGUUGGUGGCUUGUAUUCUGGGGGUGGCUUCUCCACUGGUGGUGGCCUGUAAACAGGGGUUGGUGGCUUAUAUUCUGGGGGAGGCUUCUCCACUGGAGGCGACUUAUAAACAGGGGUUGGUGGCUUGUAUUCCGGGGGUGGCUUCUCUACGGGAGGUGGCCUGUAAACAGGGGUUGGUGGCUUCUCCACCGGAGGUGGCUUAUAAACGGGGGUUGGUGGCUUGUAUUCUGGGGGUGGUUUCCCCAGUGGUGGAGACUUGUAAACAGGAAGAGGUGGUUUGUGCUCAUAUGGGGGUGGCUUGUGGUCAUUAGCAAGUGAGGGA